rnacentral:lncRNA from 1 species
UUUUUUUUUUUUUUUUUUUGGCUAACGUGAAUGAUAGCAUUAUAAACAAUUCUUGACAAACCCACCUGCUCUCCUGGGUUUAAACUCUCCUCGUCUAAUGCCUGAUCAUAUUCUGUGAUUGGGAGGCAGGAUGAGUAGAAGUUACCCCAUUCCGUAUUGAUCACCUAAAAUGCAGAAGAAAGCAUGUUGAUAAGUUUGUAAAUGACAGACAUAAUUAUGUUCAAUGUGCACAAGUUACUUGAAGUGAGGAUUCAGCUGUACCAUGUUUCCUGAUUUAGGUAACUCGCCCUCAAACUUUGGUAUGGCGCUUGCCUCUUCAACAUAUGCAGCAUUUGAGCCAGUUCCUAAUAUGACACCGAUGACGACAUCCUCAUCGUUGUAUCUACCGGCAGCCAGUGUCCCAACGGUGUCAUUGAUCUGAACCAUGAAAAAUAUAAUGUCAAGGUGUGAUCCUACCAUAGGAAAAGACUGUCUGUACCAGAAUAGAGAUAAUGAUAGAUCAGAUAAGAAACUAGUAAGAACUAACCAAUGCAGCCACACGCAUGUGAACGCCAUGCUUCUCCAUGGCCGUCCGCAAUUCUGCGACGACAUCUUCGCCUACCUGAAAAGUUUCAGAAAUGCCUUGGCAUAAGAACCACACAGUCCUUGUAGGAUUUUGCAAAUGACAGUGAGCACCAAAUAGAAUGGCUCGCCACAAGAUGAAUACUUACAGCAUCAUCGAUUGAGAACGCUUUGGUCCACUUGAUGAGAGUGCCUGACGCAAUCGAUGUUUGUCUCACAGGGAACGAGAACGUGAACCCCAGCUCCCUUUGCUUGUCUUCAAACACAUCGUUACGCCCUUCGUCCGCGAUGACCUUGGCUAGCGCGGAAGCAAUGAAGCCGAACAGCUCCUGAAGAAUUCAGCGGGUGAACACCACGGGUGGGACGGAACGUAAACGGACAGUUCAAACGAAGCUGUGAACUAUGCUGUUCUCACCGACGCGUUGCCUGACAUGAGGUGAGGAGGGAUGGAGACCUCCUUCGACUCACGCUUGGCGACGCGCUUCUCUUUCCCCGCGAGCUGCACGCGCAGGACCCGGAAGUUUGUUCCCCCGAGAUCCAAGGAGUAGAAAAAACCCUCUUCAUUCCUGGAUUUUGUAGUAACAAUUAACGACUUGUAAGCAAGUUGACUUCAGAAUUAGAGGCGUACGAUUGGAAACAUGAACAGUUGGUCGAAAUGUGAAAAAAUGACCAUCAAACGUCCAUCCUUACCUGUUCCGACUUCAACCAACCAAGUCAAUGAAACGAUCCUCAUUUCUGAUUUUUGUAUAAUAAUGACAUUUAAGCAAAUUGACUUCAGAAUUAGAGGCGUACUAUUGGAAACAUGAACAGGUGGUCAAAAUGUGAAAAAAUGACCAUCAAACUGUAAUUGUAUCUGUUUUUGACUUGAACCAGAAAGCGGGUCUAUUUUGUUCGUCAGCACAGCUGGAGCAACUCAUCACCGGAGGCUCCAUGGAGACUGGCAGGUAUGACUGUUCGUUAGCAGCCGACGCCACGCAAGUGAGAGCUGGCUGUUCAAUUUGUUGGGCUAGAUUCGGAGUGCUAGACAGGGAAAAACACCAAGCAGCUGUGCGCUGGUCGCCAACAACCUCCUCCCCGUCGCACGCGUCGACUGGGCUGUUGGCUGCAACGUGCCAACUUGCCGCAGCGCACUGGAGGCGCCUCGGCUUGGCACGCCAGGCUCGCACGACGGCACGUUCCGCCGCCACAAGGUGUCGCGCGGACACGCGGGCCGGCGGGCGGGCACGGAGACGCCAACGGCCCAGCGCAGAUCGAGUAGGAGAGCACGCUUUCUAGACAGGGAACAGACGAGUCCGCGGAGACAGCGCAGACGCAGCAGCUGAUGCUUGCAAAACUAAGCCAAUUUGGAGUGCAAAACGUCCUAGCAUCAAUGACGUCCACCGUGAUUUACGUGUACCAAUUGAUUUACGUGUACUAAUUGUAGUAUUGACCAAAGGUAGUAAAUGGCCCGGCUAAUCUUUCGCAGUAUAGGAUCAGAGUAGAUGUUCACAGAGAUUCGGCAUCGGAAAAAAGAAGAUUAAAAAUAAAAACACUAACUUUUCUUCUCGCUGUUCACGGACCAAGUGAAGUUAACUUAGCAAAUUGUGUGGUACGGAGUACUAGCGAUUAGCAAUGGUAGGAGGAGGUAAAGGUAAUUACCCGGUGGGGAGGUUGUCGACGUAGGAGAUGAUCAUCUUGAUCUUGCUGCCGCCCUCCUCGCGCAGGCCGGCCCGCAUCUCCGCCUCCAUAGCCGCCGCCACCUCGUUCAGCCGCGCCGCCGGCGCCGCGCACGCCUCCCGGAGCUCCGCCACCACCCGCUCCGCCGCCGCCGCCACCAUCGUCGAUUAGUUCCCGACCUCCUCGAUCACCCGACCAAACCAAGCCGCCCAACAACUCCCGCUCAGCAACCGAGAAACAAAAGCUGCGAUCUUGCAGGCGCAAGAACUCGGUCGAAUGCCGGAUCCCGCUCCGGAAUCACCCCAAGAAACCGAGGAUCAGCAACAGCAAGGGAUUCUUGGCGAUUGCUUUCUUGGGCCACAGCGAGGGAGAGAGGAAAAAUCUAGCGCUAUACGCUUGUGAUUUUGUGAUGAUCAAGCCUUGGUGCGCAAUCCGUGGAGGAGGAUUUGGGUUUGGCCGCGGCCUCGCGAGCUUUAUUUAUAGCCUCCGCCCGCGUCGAGGAAAGAAGAUGAUGCGAUGCGAGUCGGACGCGAACGAGGUUCACCCGGAUCUACUAGAAGAGGCUGAGUCGGACUCGCCGUGGUGGGUAAAGUAAAAGUAAAAUAGAUUUGUUUACUGGAUAUAAUAAUUAUCUGUUACUGGAGUAAUUAUUUAAUUAUUAUCCUUGCUGGAUAAAGGGGGAGGCGGCGCUGGCGCGGCAUCGCCUUGCCAAGAGCGCUGCUUUGAAUUCUCCUCCUCCUCUAGUCCUCCGCCAUUGCCCACGGGAAGGCCAUGAAAAGUUUGCUUGGCUUUGACCGGGGGAUGGAGUCGCCGCCAGCAUCUUUUUCGUACUCCCGAUUUCCGGCCGACAAGAGCAAUGUUUUUGCUUGCCUAGUUUUUUUUUUUUUUGAUAAAGCUUGCCGAGGUUAAGUGUACAAUCACAGCUAAAAAGGUUCCGUGAUGACACUGUGCGUUCUGCAUCCCACGAGUCACAACUCACAACUGACAAGAGCCUCGGAUUGUUUGCUGCGCAUGAAAUUAGUAUCCAUAUUUACUUCUAGUCAAUCACAUCUCUUAUUGUAUACUAUAAGGAAUAUAUUUUUUACGAUGAAUCCAGUUGGUGGUGAUUCGUGAGAUAAAAUUAGUCGAAAACUAGUAGCACUCGAGUACCCGCCGCGGCGUAAGAAGAAAACUACAACAAUCUCGUGCAUCUCGCAGAUAUAUUGAUGACACUAAAACGACAAUCUAGGAGGAUUAAUUCUCUCAAAAUUGUCAUUUUCAAAAGAUCUUAUCUGAUUUGCAACGUAAGCGAGAAAUUCAGCGGAGCAAGGCUGGCCUCUUUGCGAAUUUUCAGGUGGCUGCAGCGAAUGACGUUUGGCCCUGAAGUCAAAGGUUUGACCUGGGCAGCUGGUUUCGAGUGGGUUUUACACCUCACUAGGUCAGUGCGCCGUGCGUUGCUACGGGCAGUAAAAUAUUUCAGCGCAAUAUGAGGAGCGUGGGAAAUAUGGUGUUGAUCUUGUUUAAGGCUCAUUGAAAUCCACAAGCAUCAACAUUUGCGUAGUAGUGAUAAACAAGUAUAAACAUAGUAUACAAAAAUAGUUAAUUCAAGUAAAAUUAUAAUCCAACGUCAUGUCUCAGUUCAAGCUUAACACAACACUUGAAACUGAAUAUACAUUUGCUCUUUGCCUUGUGCCCAACUGUAGUAACGAUUCAAGCUCACUAAACCAAACGACUUGAACAGACCCUGGAUAAACAACCAGUCCUGAAAAUAUCAGGACAGUACCUUCCCCAAAGCCCAGUCAGCAGAAUCAAAGUAAUACCUUCCCCAAAGCCCAGUAAGCAUAAUCAAAGUAAGCUCUUUCAUGAUCCUCAUAUGAAACUUUAAAUAGGUAAGAGGACAUGGACAUUAGAGACAAAAAUAAAUUAACUUCUCUUGUUAUGGUGAAUGCAUACCAUCUCUUUCAUUGUGAUAAGAAACUUCUACUUUCUUAUCAGAUAUAACAGAAAUCUUACAUAAAUCUACUUUCUCAGGAUAGUUACGGAAUUCAGACAUAAAUCUUGAUAUGAUGAACAAUAUCAGUUUAUAGGAUACAUACAGAUCACUACAUCCAAAUAACAGGCAUUUAUGACUUAGAUAAGACCGAAGCAAUAAUUAUGAUAUGAAUAGCUUAAACUCCUCACUAAAUAUUUGACUACUCCACCUGGAGUUUAACUGUAAAGACCGCGGUAAUAGUGAAAAUGGUGUAAAGUAUGAGGCUUAUGAAAUAUGGUGCUCCUUCCAACCUACAUGAGCCAUUCUAAUUCUAAAUUCACCCCAUAGUUAAAGUUGAGUCACAUAUAGUACCCAAAACAUGCAUACCAACAGACCUGCUUUGCUCAAAAAAAAGAAGGAAAAACAUAUGCCAAAGAAAAGGGAAAAAGAAAAAAAACGACCAUAUUUGGAUGAGAGCGAGUGUCAGUGUCCAAAAGUCAUAAGCAUAUGAAGGGAACGUGAAGUGGUGGAAAUAGUCAAUUCAUAAAGAAAAAGAUUUGGCAUACCACUGAAUUAGUAUAAGUAACAAAUUGUAGAAGCUGUUCCUGUAGACGCCAUUCAGCUAGACACAUGUUUCUGCAUCAGAAAAAGCUUAGUACUUUUAACAGCUUUUUUAUCACCAUUGUGAUCACUCAGCACAUUUGGCAAGCCAUUCAUUUAGCGAUUUCACUAUCCUGCCUAUCAAGAACGUGUGUAUUUACAAAAAAAAGUAACUGCUGUGUCAAACAGAUUCGAGAUGUUCUACACCACCAGUUACUGCAUAGAAACAGUCAAAAUUCCCAUAUAUUACAACUAAAUUCUAUGCUCCAACUCUAUAGAGUUCUCAAUUCAGUUCUGUAAUGAGGAGAAGCCAGAUUAGUCUGACCCUGUCAAAUUCUGAAAGCUCCAAAACUCACCCAUGCUAAGCAUGCUGAUCACCCUACAAAAUGGCCGCACAUGUCAAACACUAAAAUAAGAUAUACAGCUUUGGUUAUCACUGACCACAUCUUGACCAUUCCAUAGGCACAGAGAAAUGGAAACAGUAAGAUCAAUUGAGAAAGUUUGCAUUCUACUAUGUACAACCUAACUAAAAAGCCAACACGGCAAACAAAGAAUCACCCGUGCAAACGGCACCCGAGCUGCUGUACUUUCAGUCUAUGAGCCGAAAACUAAUCUAACGGACUGCCACAGUUUGGCAAACUUUCAGUCUAUGAGCAACAAGAAAUAUAUAUAUAGCUCAAUUGAAAGAACAAUCGCUAAGCCAACAAUCAGCAAAGAGCUCACAAUCAUAUCUUAGCACUCUUGUCGUGCCAUUCGGUCAUAUACAUUUUAAUACAUGUGGAAGCCAACUUCACAAACAAGUACUCCCUCCAUUCCAAAUUAUAAGUCAUUCCAAGAAUCUUGGAGAGUCAAAGCAUCUCAAGUUUGACCAAAAUUAUAGAGAAAAUUAUAAAAAUUUAUGACAUCAAAUAGGUAUACUAUGAAAAUAUAAUUGAUGAAGAAUGUAAUGACACUUAGUUGACACCAUAAAUGUUAUUAUAUUAUCAUAUAAAUUUGGUCAAACUUGAGAUACUUUGACUCUCCAAGAUUCUUAGAAUGACUUAUAAUUUGGGAUGGAGGGAGUAGUAAGUACCUCUGAAAACCAAUAUGUUCACCAUUGUAGCUUCCCUCAUCACACUGCAUGACAUAAUCAGAUAAAGCCAUCAGUUUAUCAUACAUUCAUACAAGGGAUCAAUAUUGCAACACAAGAUGAAAACAAAAUAUUCAUGACAAUGUUGCACAGCUGGUUUGGAAUAUGUGCCCACCACGUUUUGUAAAAAAGACAUCUAGAAUUAAACAUAGGCUCAUAAGGAAAUUUAACCCUUGUUCCAUAAAAUCAUCAGGGUGAUUUCCCCUCCCUGCGCCUGAGUUAUCAGCCGGCCCUUUAUCCCUAAAAUCUCUGAAGUCCCUUUCUUAAUUACGGAGAUAAUGGAAAAGGGAUAAAGUAUAAUAUAUUUGCCUUUGUAUUGAUGAGAUAAUGGGAAAGGGAUCAAAGCAUUGUCAUCUCAUACGUUCCCUGUUCUUUUUGGAACUUAAAGCAUUUGCAAUAUGAAGCUGUAAUACAAUAGGAUAGUAGGAUAAAAUACGAUGCUUCACCAUAUAAUUCAGAAGAUAGUAAAAUAUUGUCCAAUGAUAAAGUAGGCCUCAUGUAGUGUAAGAUAAAACAUCCUGCAAUCUGACAAAUUGGACUCCAUAUUAACAGGGUAUUUUUCUCAAGCUAAUAUUCCCUACCAGAAUACAACCCACCUUCUCAGCUACAUGCCAAUUGAAUUGGACAGAGAUCUAAUCGGGCUUCUAAGAUCUUAUGACAAUCGGGACCAAUAAAUUUCUUAUCAACUAAAUUAUAUUAGAAACCAAAUCAAAAGGCUUAGAAUACAAACGCUUGCCACUUGCAGGAAGAUCAGAAGAAUCAUUUUGUUUUUCCGUUCUAAUAAACUUUACUUCAGUGUGUAUAUGUAACCUGAUGCUAUUGAAGAGAGUAGCAGCAUCUUACUGCGGCAAGUAACUCAUGACCGAUCGGUGAAAAUAGGUGAACAACAUAAAGUGUGGUUCAUAUGAUGGGACAUUAUUAAUCCGAUUAGUACAGUUGAAGCGAGAAGGAAAUACUGAUAUAAGCUGCAAUAAGCAAGCUUACCUUGCUUUUGUGUGACAGAACGUUAACCUAAUAAUCUCUCACUUAAAAUAAAUUAAAAUGCCAAAUAGUACACAAAUAAUAGAACGGGUUUUACAAUUCCAAAGCACAAACUAAUCUUAUAAUUAUUCAGGAAAAGGAUCAAUAAGAAACAGCCUAGUGCAGGAAGCAAGAGAUAAAUUGGUCUUGCAAUAAAGAGGAAAGAAACCAACACACCCAUGUCGUGAACAUAAUAAUAUAAAAUAUAAAAAGAAAUGCAGUAUAGUUAGGAGGAUGUAGAAAUGCCUAGAAGAAUUUGUUCGAACUUACCAUUGUCCAUGAAAUGAGGCAGUAUGUGCAGUCCACUAUUCAUGUAAAAAAGUUUAUGCGCUGAGCAACCCUUCAGGUCAAAGACGAAGCAGAUGAGAUUUUGUGCCCCUAAUUCGAGUAAGCAAAAUGAUAAAACAAGAAGGAAAGCAUCAAAUUUUCACCUGGAGCAAUGGAGCACGUAGUCUCCAACCAUUCUUUAAAACUCUCCUCCAUUCUGCUCACCUCCUUAAAAUCUACAAGUUGAGGGAUGAAUUCCUUGGCCUCCGAUCCAUAUUCUUCAGGAGCAUGCAAAUCCCACCCUCUUCCUCACGGCUUUUUAAUAGAGCGGAAUGCAGUUUGGCCACGAAGGGUACGUCGUUUUUACUCGGUUUUGCUUUUUUUUUUAGCUGUACAGAGACUCUGACGUGGCUGACAAUCCCCCUCCAGCACUGAUGAGAUGAGAUCAGGGCAUCAGGCAUUCAGGCCAGCGCCAGCCUAUGCCAGGUGGUGGCCCGCACACGGCUUCUGCCGAUAAUCCGUGGGUCAGCGGGUGUAUGUUUGUCACUGGUAGGGUGUUCUCUUCUUCCUUUUUCAAGAGCUCAAGGGUGCAAACUGUGAUGGCGUAUUUUUUGCCAUUCCAGGUGCUAUUGAGUUUUCAUAUUCAAAGGCACAAAAAAUUUGAUGCAACGUAAGCGAAAUUUUUUGAAGUUUGAUGCUCGAUGGCUCCGCCAAAAUAGGUAAAGGAUAAUGCGAUGGACCGAAGAUAGAUGGCCGGGCUGCUCUCCUUGUACUUGUACCUGCUUGGCUCCUCGAUUGUCUGGUGCCUGCUAAGACUCAACUUGCAGUUAGCAGCCUCGGUGCUCACCUUUCAAGCAAAAAGACAACGAAAAUGCUCUAAAAGCUUUUGCAUAUCCCAGGAAAGAUUUACAUAGGAUAGUAGCCCAGGAAAUAUCAGAGCGGCUCAUGCGGCUGCGAGCUUCAAAAAUUGCUCGAAAAUGAAGGGUCGCUUUAUUUCUGUACUUUUUUCGCUUUUUUUUGUUUGGGAGCAGGCUGUGAAUUUUUUUUUCCCAUUUCGGCGUCGAAAAUUCAAACUAGCAUAGCUUGUUGUAGCGUCUCUCCUCUUUAGGCAUCACGUCAAGGCACCUUGCUGGGAGUAAUAUCCCUUUGCCACGAUUUUUUUGCUCGUAACCGAUACGUUUCCAACUGAGCCUCACUAUUCCAUAAAAACGAAUUGGGAUUAAAUAUUUUGAGACUCGCACGUAGAUGUAGGUUUAGUUUAAAAAAACUGUGUCAUAAACAUCUUCUUGUUGCAUUAAGUAAAUAAAUUAUGAUAUAAAAUUCCGUCAUCAAAGUUACGUAUGGCACACCACCUAGUGACCCAGAAUGGCCUUCUUGAUGCGGGUACUCCAUACUACUUAAGUACCAACAGCAUGUAUCGUCACACUGCUUGACGAUUUGCAAUCAAGAGAUAUUAGUAGCAGCCUAGUCGAGUAAAGUUCCAUCUUUUCCCCUUUUUUGUUAAUCUGAGUGGGUUGGUGGAUUGAAAGUGAUGUGGCUGCUCACAAAACUUCCGAUAGCAGCCUGACUGGUCAUCUUGAAACAAAAAGGGCAGACAAAAUGCUCAAGACUUUUGGUGCAUUACCUUUCCCUUUCCUCCCUGCAGACUGACCGUGAUUGCACGGAAUUUUGCGAUGCUACUAGUACGUAACAUCGCUCGGAUUCAAUUCGGCUGCUAAGUUAGACCGUGAAAUGUCACGAUGAGAAUUUGUGAGGCGCCAUGGGCCGAGGCCCAUAAUCGAAUCCACCAUUGGGCCAGCUGCGAGCGUCCGUCCACUCACUAUCACAAGGCGGCAAGGCCCAGAAUCGAUGCCACCAUGCCCAUUUCUGAAACGAGAAUGCUUAAGGAGCGAAGACAAAUCUAGCGAAAUCACUUGCGCCACAAGCAAUCACCGUCAGUUUCAAAACGACCAUCAUAAAUCAUCGUCAAGGGAACAGGGCGGCUGGUUCGGUCACGUGACGGCACAAUAAUGCCCCCUGCACGUCCGCAUUGCGUGCCUGCAGGGUUGCGAAGCCACGCGCGAUGUGAUGAUUGGCCCGCCGGCCGGACGCAGCCUUCCCAUUGAGUUGUGGCCUUGUGGAUUGUGGCGCGGCCGGACACGGGACAGGGGACACCGCGAUGUGAUCCGGCCUGCCCGCCUGGUCGACCACGGAGGCGGCCGUGGAGCACUCGAGCUCGAGUUCUCGCGCGGCCUCCGAGGCGCCCCACGGCGGGCAGGAGGCCAGGAGCUGGUCGUUGCGGUACGGCGAGGGGCGCAAUGACCGUCGUACCCCUGGCUACUGGGGAUUCUGGGGCGUCGGUCGCUGUUUGAAUCCCGCGGCCCGAGGCCGGCAGCGGCGCGCGGUCUGGGGUCAGGGGCGUCAGGACAGGCAGGCCCCCGUGGUGCCAGGCAGCCAGGCAGGGGAAUAAAAACCGACCAUGCCGUCACCUGACGUCGCCGGAGAAGAUUCCUUCUUCCCUCGCGCGCGGUCCAGAGGCCCAGUCUCUCUCUCUCUCUCUCUCUCUCUCUCUCUCUCUCUCUACCUCUGAAUUCUGAAAAUCUGAGAUCGGAUGGACGUGCUGGUUCUCUCUCUUAUCUCUGCGCAAAGCCCAGUAGCCCACCCGCAGCGUUGCUGAACGCUGCCUGCGUGUCUCCCUCCAGAUUUAAAAAAGAUUCCAGGAUCUUAGCUGCAGGAGCAGGAGCAAGCCGGUGCCGGUCGGUGCGUGUAUGGAUGGGGGCGCGCGGCCCCAGGAAAGGCGUCGCGUCGCACGGGACCGGAUAAACAAAAGAACCACCGCGCACCUCUCCAUCGGGUGCCGGCGAGGAGGUGGGAUCGCCGGUCACGUGCAGCAGCAGCCGCUCGCAUACGUACGUACGCCUCCGCGGCCGCCGCCGGCGGCGGUGGGGAGGAGCGGGGCAGAGCCGCGGAGGACGCGCGUACGUACGUGCUCCGGCCGGCGCGCACGGCUCGGUUGGAAAUGAUUUGGAGGCCGUGCGGGUAGGACGCUGCUGGUACGUACUACGCACACGCCUGGCCACUGACCUAUAUGUGUGUUUGUACUUGUACACAUACGUUUGCAUCACGCAAAGCAGUUUUUGAAUUUGUUACCGAUCGAGGCCACCUCCAUGCUCCCAGUCCCAGCGUUCGAAUUCGGAGCUACUGCUAUGGUUGGAUUAAUAUAACCGUCACGUAUCCAAUCCAAUCCUAUCCAUGAUCCUACAUCACCUGUCUACUCUAUCCCCACCAGCUCCGACUCCGCCGUACUGCAUGCGAGCGAGCUGGUCCCAGGCAGGUAAAAAAAAAAACCCGGAAAUGUAGCACUACGCUACAAACUGUGACGGGCACGGUGGUCCAGGACUCCGGCCACGGCCAGCUUAGGUUUGUACUAACAUUUUGCCAGAGGACGGAACGCAUAUUACGCGGCCGCGGACGGAACGCCGUAAAAGCCGAGCGCGAACCGCCCGGGAUCACCGUACGGCGUCCAGGCCCGUUCCGCCGCCCCCGGAAAAGGACGGAAGAGCCCCUCAGCUUAGCUUCCGUAAUCCCACGGCGCUGUACCAGGGUCCAUGGGGCGCGCCCCGGGCGCGCGCGGGCGUGCGGGUGGUCACGGCCAUCGGCCGCGGGGAAGGAAAAAAAAAAGGAGGCGCCGCGCCAUCUCGACCUGGAAAGCUGCGUGGCUCGUGACCCGGGUCGGCGGCGACCGACGAGGCGAGGCGACGGACUCGGUAGCUAGCCAGCUGCUAGGCGACGGGUCCAGCAUGGAUUAGCUGGCGGCGGAGCAACUGCCUUUUACGGCGAUAAGUGAUGAUGACGACGGAAGACGGGUUCCGCUUUUGCACCGGCGACGGUGGAAGCUGUCGAGGCUGGAGGGGUCACACGACUCGGCAACCGGCUUCCUACUUGCGGACUGGACCAGUGGGUGGCUGGGCUCGAGAUGUGCGUGGUGACUUGGUGAGCGAGGCUUCAAAUAACCCGCAUCAUCACAAGUACUGUGGUACUAGUACUAAGUUUCAAGUUAAAAAAAAAACUGUGGUAACCUCUGAUGAUGGUCCCACGGUGUGGCGUUCAUGAUGUCAAGGACUUCGCACGGGCGGGUACAAACGGUGGUGGCCGUCGGUCGUGUAUUCACCGUCACGCACAAGUCUCCAAUAAUACCAUAAUUGUGUUUUCGAAGUGGCAGUCGCUUGGAUGCUUUGAUUACCACCUGAGCACGAUCUAAGGCAUUUCGCCACGUACCGCUACUUUCAACAAUUUCUCUCCGGAGAAUGCUACAUCUUGCCCCCGAACCACACAGUCGCUUUGUUGUCGAUCAUGGCAAGCGUGCCGCGCUCACCGGAUGCCAGGCUUCUAUCAUCACCGCUUUCGUUUCCGCCCUCAGUUAGCCAGCAAUAUCUGUUUGUUUCUCUAGCCCCUACCACCUUUUCUCAUCCCAAAUUGAGAGGAGCCGCCAUCGAAAUAAACCCUAACCGUAACACCAGCUUUCUCUAUAGCUACUCAACUGUCGGUACCCCCAUUACGCCGCCCUCCAACAAUCACAUUGCUCGCAACGCAUACAUUUCCUCUCUCAUCUCUUUCAAUGCCGGUGCGCUACCACAAGCGCCUAAUUUGUGGCCACACUCAUGACUUCCACGAACCCGUUGAUGAAAAGGUCACUCGAGUGUGCUUUAGCGAAGGUAGCAAGGGGUAUUGGAUACCCCUACUAAACUUUAACACCUGUCACAUCGGAUGUUUGAUACAAAUUAGAAGUAUUAAGCAUAAUCUACUUACAAAACUAAUUGCACAGAUGGAGUCUAAUUCGCGAGACGAAUCUAUGAAGCCUAAUUAGUUCAUGAUUUGACAAUGUGAUGCUACAAUAACCAUUUGCUAAUGAUGGAUUAAUUAGCCUUAAUAGAUUCGUCUCGCGAAUUUGACUGCAUCUAUGCAAUUAGUUUUGUAAUUAUCUCAUGUUUAGUCCUUUUAAUUAGCAUCCGAACAUCCGAUGUACCCCGCUAAAGUUUAGCAUCUCGUAUCCAAACACCCUCUAAGUCACUCGAGCGUGUGCUUCAGCAAACCCGUUGAUGAACUGGUUGGAUCCGAGGGCUAGCACUGAGGAGGCCCCAUUUGGUAGGGCUUCUCAAAGUGCUUCUCCACCGGUUUUUGAUGAAGCCCUACCAAAGGGGCAAUUUAAAAAUGGUUCCAUCACCAAAACUGGGGAGAAGCCGCAAAACGGUUUACACUAAAAGUUUCACCGACUUCUCCUCUCUCUCCAAGCAUUAAUUUAUCAUAAAAUUACUCAUAUUUACAUUGAGAAGCCGUUUUACCAAAUAUUUUGCAAAACGGUUUCAACUUCACUGGAAAAGUCACUCUGUCAAAGAAGCUAGAGCUGGAACCGUUUUGGAAGAAGCCCAAACCCUGCCAAACGGGGCGUGAGGCUCUUCCAAUCUUGCUCCCGACGGCACGUACCAGCACGUGCGCUAGCUGAAACGUGUAAUCAUGCGUCGUCCGUGGUACAUCUAUCAUGUACACACGUACCUUGAGCAUUAAGAUAUGCAAACUAGCUAGGAUUCAAAUUCAAACGCUAUCCACCACUACUAGCUUCCAAAUCGAACGGACGCGACUCGAUCCAUCCUCCAUAACUCCCUCGUACCCGAUCAUCAAAAAGAAAAAUAUAUCGAGUAACAAAACACCUCCCCGGCCGGCAUGCUGAUUGCGAAAAGGGUACAAUGAUGCAUGCUUCGGCUUCACUACCACCCCCACACAGUGUGUGUGGGUGUGCGCGACACAUGCGCUGCUGGCCUGGUACGACGCGACGACGGCACGCAGACGACAGGUUCAAGAGCACCCGGCCCCUGGGCCGGCGCACGUGCCGGCAGGCCCAUGCCCAUACACCAUCAUGCACACUCGCGUCAGUGAGCCUGUGUGGGCACAGUGCAAAUGAAAUGCAUACGCUUUUGCUUGCUCCGGUCGUAGCAUGCGUGAUCGCCGAUCAUCAAGUCGAAGCUCUCCAAAUCACCCCCUGAUCGAUGCACUGAUCUGCGGCGGCAACCACCCCUGCAGGCUGCAGCCAGCAGCAUGCAUGCCAUGCCUUUUCUCCCCUUCCCUUCGUCCCUCCCGUCCCGUCCGUCCUCGCCUAUUUAAGCAAGCCUUUUCGCCAUCGCCUUUCCGCCAUGAAUUGCAAGCCUACGCGGCUGGUGUAGUGCGCUAGCUCCUGCUCCGUCCGCCUGCACCUCCAUGCAUGCCGCGCUGCGCCGGUAGUAGUGCACCACCCAGUACAACCGUAAAGCUCAUCACAGCUCUGGGUCGCGUCUCCGGCCCGCCGUGACGUACGUACGAGAUCGACGUCCGUGCGCGCGGGAUCCUCCGCCUCCGAUCCGGCUUUGCCGUUGGCAGGCGCAGGGGCUACCGCCUACCGGGCCACUGGCCUGUAGCGUAGCCUUUUUGCCGUGCACAGAUAGGUGUGGCUGGGAUCCGAUCGUGCUCGUCAGCAGUCAGCUCUCGUGCAUGGAGGAGAUGCUGCUGCAGCUGCAGUAGUGGGGGGUGGUAGUGGCCGCCAGCCUCCGAUCCGCCUGCAGGUCAAGGCGCCGCGCCGCUCACGGGGGUUGAAGGGGCGCGCAGCUGGCUGGUGGUCGCAGCAGGCAGUUGAAAAGCUCCCCCAGCAGAAGCGCCGGGUGAGGUGGGGGUUGAUUCCGAUAUCGCGAGCACCAGCAAGCUAGCCGCCGGCGAGCUCCUUCGUCUUCAUCUCGAGGUGGUCACUCGCUCUCCGCUUCCCGGCCUUCUCUCUCUCUCUCUCUCUACUCCCGUGCUGUUGGUUUGCGUUGCAUCUCCGAGUUUUCCUUCUCUUGCAUGGUUGGAUAUCGCCAUAUCGGAGCGCGUACUGUAGAUGGAGAUCAUGCUCGCGUUGCAUGCCUUGUCCCAUUCGACGGCCGCAUCGAUCCCGCCUCGUUUCCUCCCUCUCGUCUCUUGUGCGUCUGCCAUGUGUUAUGGUCUAGCUUUUCUUGCCAACUUGGGCUGGGCUGGGGCACCACCAUCGCUUAACUCCACAGUUGAAGCUCAGGGAGAGGAUAAAAGGGUGAGAUUCUUCUCAAUGGUUGCAAUUUUUUUUGCGCUCUCUCUCUCUCUCUCUCUCUCUCUCUCUCUCUCAUUCAUGCACGUAAUUUUGAUUUGACGCAAAGACCAUCGCCUCCGAGUUUCUCUCUCUAGAUAGACCGGUAGUAGACUGCAUGCAGAUGUUCUUGUUUCCAAAAAUGCGCUCUACACUUGUUGCUCCCAAACUGGUUGCCUUCCUUUUCUUUCUCCCCCUUUCUUGUUUGCGUCUUUUUGGGCUGACGCUGUCCCUUUUCGAACCUCGAGUACCCAAACAGAUCUCCCCCUCCCACUCUCUCUCGUCACGCUACUCCCUCGCAUCCGUUUCCGUUUCUUCUUUACUUUAAUGGCGAUGAGCCGAGGAGAGAGACAGUGAGAGAGAGCGAGUGAGAUCAGAGAGGCCCAUGCUUCGCUUUGUCCGCUAAUGGCCGCUCCCCUCACCUCACCGCGCCCCCUUUUUAUUUCGAACCCGUGCCCUCUCGCACGCUUCCCUUCCGUUUUCCCUCUCUUAUUCAAAACUCGACACCUCUAACUGCCGUCACCUCACCUCACUCGUGUCUUCUCACUCUACUCUACCAGCGCCAGCGCCCCGAGCUGCCAGGUCCGGCGAUGGGCAAGGCGGCGCGGUGGUUCCGCAGCUUCCUGGGCAAGAAGGAGCAGGCCAGUAAAGACCAGAGGCGGCAGCAGGACCAGCCGCCGCCCCCGCCGGCCACCGCCAAGCGCUGGAGCUUCGGCAAGUCCUCCCGGGACUCGGCGGAGGCCGCCGCGGCCGCGGCCGCGGGCGCCGUGUCGGCCGGCUCGGGCAACGCGGCGAUCGCGCGCGCGGCGGAGGCCGCGUGGCUCAGGUCCGCGGCCUACGACGAGACGAACAGGGAGCGGGAGCAGAGCAAGCACGCCAUCGCCGUGGCCGCGGCCACUGCGGCGGCGGCGGACGCGGCGGUGGCCGCGGCCCAGGCGGCCGUCGCCGUCGUGCGGCUCACCAGCAAGGGCCGCGCCACGCCCACCCUCGCCACCGCCGCCGGCGGCCGCGCCGCUGCCGCCGUCAGGAUCCAGACGGCGUUCCGAGGAUUCUUGGUAAGCUAAGCAGCCACGCACCAAGCCAAACUCUGUGAUCGAAUCGAACAGUGCCCUUGUCUCUCCGCCAUGUUCGUACGCCUUGCUCUGUUUCACACUACUGUUCUUUGCUGUAAAAAUUGCGCAGGCGAAGAAGGCGUUGCGCGCGCUCAAGGCGCUUGUGAAGCUGCAGGCGCUGGUGCGGGGCUACCUCGUGCGCAGGCAGGCGGCCGCCACGCUCCACAGCAUGCAGGCCCUCGUCCGCGCUCAGGCCACCGUGCGCGCGCACCGCGCCGGCGUCCCAGUCGUCUUCCCGCACCUCCACCACCCGCCCGUCCGGCCACGCUACUCGCUGGUACGAACGCCUCUCGUCGACGCGCCGUCCAAUGUCUCGCCGUUCCCGUCGAUGUUUGCUUGCUGACGUGUUUGUGGGUGAUUGGCCUGUGUGCAGCAAGAGCGGUACGCCGACGACACGCGGAGCGAGCACGGUGCGGCGGCGUACGGCAGCCGGCGGAUGUCGGCGAGCGUCGAGUCCUCGUCGUACGGGUACGACCGGAGCCCCAAGAUCGUGGAGGUGGACCCGGGGCGGCCCAAGUCGCGCUCAUCCUCGCGUCGCGCGAGCUCCCCGCUGGUCGACGCCGGCAGCAGCGGUGGCGAGGAGUGGUGCGCUAACUCCGCCUGCUCGCCGCUGCCGUGCUACCUGUCCGGCGGCCCGCCGCAGCCGCCGCGCAUCGCCGUGCCAACCUCGCGCCAGUUCCCGGACUACGACUGGUGCGCGCUGGAGAAGGCGCGGCCGGCGACGGCGCAGAACACGCCGCGGUACCUGCACGUGCACGCGCACGCGCCGGCCACCCCGACCAAGUCCGUUGCGGGCUACUCGCCGUCGCUCAACGGCUGCCGGAACUACAUGUCGAGCACGCAGGCUUCGGAGGCGAAGGUGCGGUCGCAGAGCGCGCCGAAGCAGCGGCCGGAGCUCGCCUGCGGCGGCGGCGCUCGGAAGCGGGUGCCGCUGAGCGAGGUGGUGGUGGUGGAGUCGUCCCGCGCGAGCCUGAGCGGCGUCGUCGGCAUGCAGCGCGGGUGCGGCGGCCGCGCGCACGAGGCGUUCAGCUUCAAGUCCGCCGUCGUCGGCCGCAUCGACCGCACGCUGGAGGUGGCCGGCGUCGAGAACGACCGCCUGGCGUUCCUGCAGAGGAGGUGGUGACGGCUCCUCUCCAUUGGGAAUGCCAGCGAGACGACGAGAGCUUCGGGGGAGUAAUUAGCAAUAAGAACGCGUUUUCAUGUGUUCUUGCGAGUUCUCGUCCUUUUUUCAUUCUUCUUGCUGUUGUUGUUUUGCAAUGUGAUCAAUCAUGCGACGUGUGUUCUUUCCUUUUCUUUUCUUUUUUGUGUUUAUUUGCGGCAAACAAGUGUAUGAGAAAAAAUUAGAUUCAUACUGCACUUGGCAUGUAAAUUCUUGCCCCUAUUAUUGAUGCUGUUCUUGGAUUGUGUCCUUAAUGGUUUCUCUGUUUGUCCAGAGCAUUGAGUGAGCUGUUUCCGCAAUUGUGGACGCACCCAUUUAACUGAAUCAGCAGAGGUAGUAUUGUGUACCAAUCUUAGGGCACUCAGAAUGAAGAAACUGCAUAUUCAUUUGGAAGGAUCUUCAUGUCAUCUAGACACUACCUAUUCAUUUGGAAGUAGUUUAGUGGAGUACUCCGUACUAGGUUUUUACAGUGAACCGGGGGGGAGAGAGAGAGUUUGGAACUAAAAUCGUCCGGACCCAGGGCAGUCGAAGCGACCGAUUAUUUGAUUGAGCCCCAUCCUACCUACUAGUGCAAUUCUAGAGCGCACGAGCUAGGACAGAGUACUCAAAACCAAAAGUUGGUGCUACGAAUUCGAUCAGAUUCUUUUCGUGGAGCCUACCUACUGAUUCUAAUUUUAUGUCCUGCGGUCUCGUUCAGAACCUAAUGGGACGACCGGGCCUAGCAGUAGCCACAAUCAAACCCAUCGUGACGUGAAUCGUGGAAAAGGGGAUGGGAAUGGAAAUGGAAAUGGAGUAGGCGAUUUGGUUGGCACCCGAGCCGUCACGAACACGACCAAAAACUGCACAAAUUCAACGCCAAACAGGGCACGAAACUUGAUCUCGGGAUUUUGAGUUUGGAGCAGGGGCGCGGCGGGCGUGCUCCGCUGCUACGGACCAGUCGGCCGCCCGCUCGCUCGCCGGGGAGGCACGGAGAACUGAGGUGCCGGAAGGCGACGCGGCACCGGCACGGCAUGUGGCGGCGCUGGGGCUUGGCUGACAGGUCUCCCGCGCGCCGGAGGCCGGACCACGCGGGCGCACCGCCGUCAGGCGUCAACCACUGUGCGUGACUCGGGCAGCCGGGCUCGCCGCGCUCAGCUCGAUCCGGGAGGCCGGCCCCAACACGUGAGGGCGCGCGCGUGGGCCGCCUCCUGUCGCCGGGGACGCGGGCCCCGAACGGGCCUCCGCCCCACUACUCCCUGAACGGCGGGCCCAGGUUGCUCCCCCUCAAUUAAUCCCCAAAGAGAAAGGGGAGGAGUGAAGUCGCUGCUGCACAGUUCGCUGUGCGCUUCCGGGCCAGUUCGGUGCAGCCCCACGGGGCUCGACUCCUCUUGACAUUUUACCAUAGCACGGAGUCUCUUUUCUCUAUUUUUUUCCCUCUCUCUCAUAUCCGGCGGAGGAGCUAGAGGAGCCACAAAUGACUCCUCUAACACCACUGCCCGUUACAGUGGUUGGAAUCGGAGCACCAUAAGCCCGACCAAACAAGACCUCAGUUUGCUACUCGUUACUCGGUGUUGCUGCUGACGUCACACGCGCCGUCGACUGGGGCAUUCCCGCUUCGUGCGGCCGUCACCGGAGGAUUUGCCAGCGUACAAUUGUGCGCUUCAAGUAAGGCCAGUCUCAGUCAACAGUUUCAUUGCACAGUUAACAAGACUGAGAACUAGGUUUAUGGGGAUGAAACUCCUCUCAUAUAUGAUGAAACAAUUACUCCUCUCUCCUCGUAAAUAUCUUGCCAAGGCAGCAAAAUUGUGAUGUGGCAUGAAAAUUAAUGCUCAUGAAACUCCCCCUGAAACUUGGUCUAAAAGAAAAUCCCAUCUUAAGAGUUUUCUUUCUAAUUUCUAUCCUAGUAUGGUUGUUAUGAGCAAAUAAACAAGGAGUGUGGUGAGUAACUAAUAGCGUGAUUGGUUCGUGCUCAUGAUACCAUCCCGAACCAUUCGAUUUUAAAUUUUAAUCAUCUCGGCCUAAAACAUACUUAUCCGUUAUUGAGUUGUCCAUCCCGUAUGCAUGAAUGCAACCGUUUCUCGGAUUUGGUUCGACUACCUCGUCCGAAACCAUACGACCCUAAGAAGAAAAUGCGCCCGUCAAGAACCAACUGAUCUCACCCGUGAAACCAAAUAAGCUCCAAGUCAAAAGGUCAAGUACAAUGCUUUCUUUGUAGUGACCACGUUCGCUACAGACAGUUUGGUCUUUUAUCUCAUAAAAAAAAACAGUUUGGUCUUCCAUUGCAAGUUGCACCCAUAACCAGAUCGCACUCGAUCUAUGCCCGUGACAAACAACAAGCAUGUGAUCGACGAAGAGGUUGGCCUGGGGCACCACUGACACCGCGGAACCCAGUGGUUACUGGCUUGCUGGUCCUCCUCUUUUUCUCAUGCAUCCUGGCCCUUGUUUACUUGGCGAAUUUGGGAGGUGCCAAAUUACUGUAGCAACACUGUAGCGUUUCGUUUGUAUUUGUGAAUUAUUGUCCAAACAUUGACUAAUUAGGCUCAAAAGAUUCGUCUCGCAAAGUACAACAAAACUGUGCAAUUAGUUUUUAAUUUCAUCUACAUUUAGUACUCCAUACAUGUACCGCAAGUUGGAUGUGAUGGGGAAUCUUCUUUUUGUGUAGUGCCAAAGUUAGGAGUUUGGAGGUAAGAGAUCAAGGGCCUGAUUGCUGGAACUGGAACGUUGCCUGCAGAUGGAGACACGGCGAGUCUGAAUUAAAAGCCAUCCAUCCAUUCAUACACCCUAUCCGUCCCCGUGGCGCCUUUCUUCUCAGCAAUGAUUAGGUUCUGAUUUGAUGGAUGAGAGAGGACUGAGGCACCCCCUGGGUGACCGUGCGGUGCUCCUAGAGCUGCAUGCAUUAGUACAUUUUUUCUGUUCAAAAGAUUCGUGUCCUUGCAUUUGCAUUGCCCUUCUUUUUUCGGCACGUUUCACAGUUUGCCCAAGUAUAGCUCAGUGUCAUUUUUUCUCCUAUGUUUGUUUGCGUAAAUUUUACGCGGGCGGUUCCUAAACUUAUCAUAACAUGUCAUCUAGAUCCCUAAAUUCUCAAAAUAUAUUUUCAAAUCUAUAAACUUAUCUCAAAAUAUCAUCCGGGAACUAAACUCUCAAAACACAUUUUUCAUGUCCCCCAACUUGUCUUAGGGUGUCAUCCGAGUCCUUAGAUUCUCAAAGUGCAUUUUUAGAUCCCCAAUCAAGCGCCAAGUGGCACAUGCACAACCACUAGCAUAAGGUGGUUGUAAAGGUAACGGGCAAGAAGUAAGCAUUGCGAUGAGCAACGUGUGACAAGUUUUUUUAAAAAAAUUUAAAAAUACAUUUUGAGAGUUUAGAGACUCGGAUGAAACCCGAGGACAAGUUUGGGGGCCUAAAUAUGCACUUUGAGAGUUUAUGAACCCAGGUGACACCUUAAGACAAAUUUAGGAAUCUGAAAAUGCAUUUUGAGACUUUAGGGACCCGAAUGAUACCUCAAGACAAGUUUAGUGACCGCUAAUGUAUUUUACUCUUUUGUUUUGGAAUCCAUACAACUGCUCGGUAUCAUUUUUUCCUCAUCAUGUUUUUGGAUUUGACGGUCAAGUUUAAAUUGGGAACAAUUUUUUUAAUAACGGAAUUGUCUUUAGUCCGGCCUACCGUCCAGUGCGAUAAAUAGCAUCUAAUGAAACUAAACUCGAAUGCGCCUAUGUAAAUGAACGAGGAGACGAAUAGGUGAAUCUAUUGAUUGUUUAGAACAAAAACUGUGAUUUUAUCUUUAUAUAUGGAGAAGAGCCGUGAACAUGUCCGUUUAGGAGGACACAUGAAUCGCUGAGUGGUGGUCGUGCCGAGGACUAGCGGCGGAUGGUAGCAAGGUUGACGAUGCAAUGGUGGGCUACGAAUGAUGUUUGCAAGUUGGCUCGGACAGAGGGCAUGUGGCGGUGACGAAGAUGCUCAUCAAGUAAGAUGCUUGGUGACGGACCUUAGGGUACACUGCUAUAAAUAUGUCAGGAUAGUGACAGAUUAGAGCUGCUGGUAAGGGUGGUUGGAUACGAUGUGCUAAACUUUAGCAGGAUCAUAUUAGAUAUUUGGAUGCUAAUUAGGAGGACUAAACAGAUGCUAAUUACAAAACUAAUUGUAUAGAUGGAGUCUAAUUCGCGAGACGAAUCUAUUAAGGCUAAUUGAUCCAUCAUUAGCAAAUGGUUACUGUAGCACCACAUUGUCAAAUUAUGGACUAAUUAGGCUUAAUAGAUUCGUCUCGUGAAUUAGACUCCAUCUGUGCAAUUAGUUUUAUAAUUAAACUAUAUUUAAUACUCCUAAUUAGUAUCAAACAUCAAAUGUGACAUGUGUUAAAGUUUAGCAUUAGGUAUGAAAACACCCUGACGGUGAGCAUUAUAUAGACCUCAUUGUAGGGAUGGUUUCCCUCUUUAUAGAACCGAUGGACUUGUCGACCCUUUGGUAGCCCUUCACUGCACAAGUGCACAUGGAGGCCUGCCGCGGUGGUUCGGCUCGGCUCUCGAGCCCAACUACGACCUGACCUCACCCCGUCCGAGGCCGGCUGGUGGUGGGCACACACCCUCGCACUCGCACGCAUGAGCUAGAUUUCACCCAACUCGAAGCGCAUGCCUAAUGCUGUCAAUUUUGUUUCCAUCCAGACAUUUUCCUACUGUGCCAUGCUGCUGUGUACGUGCAGCUCGCUUACCUCAGUUACGUGUGCGGUCUUAUCCGUGAUCGGAGUAAAACAAAAAUAAAAAGUACUACCAUCAGUAAACUAGCAGUAUUUCCCAAAAGUUCAGUCACUGUUGCUGCGUGUCAUUUGUUUACUACCUGGCACUUGCUAGUACAAAACAGGUGAACACAGCUCCAUAUGGAUCUUUUCAAAUCGUACUAUCACUGAUCUACUGGCCAUUUUCAUCAUUUUCUAGCUUAGUGAUGUAUCAUUUGUAUAUGUUUGUUUGCACCUAAGUAUCUGUACUUUUAACCUUCUUAAACUGACACAUGUAGGUUAGGUUAGUUGCAUUGAGUGCACUAUACUUUUAUAUGAACUCAACGUUUUUUAUUUCGCAGUAGCUUCUCAACCGUUGAGAAGACACAGAUAGCCCUAAUAUUGUACUCCUAUCUAGUUUACUAUAGUUCUCGCUCAGAAGUAGUACAUGCUAUGCAGCACUGGAUGAUGCCUGUUUAAACUUGUUUCAAAAACUUUGGGAGUCAGCAGCUGCAACCACUGACAUGAGGUGAUAGUGUUAGAUUUGUUCUUUCAGUGUGAGCAGGUUGGGUGUGCGUGUCUUCCACGUACGUCAGCCAUAGAUCAGCGUUGGAUCAGGAGAUUAUGCAUGCAAUUUAUUGCUAGUAGAUAAUUUACUUCUUCAGAGUCAGAGUUCUUAAUGCUGCAAUACUGCAACAUGCCAACAUGGUGGUCUAAUAUUACAGUGAAUCAGUGAUCAUGUUACACAACAGCUUACUUGCUAAAAGCAUAUCAGUGUACCACAACAAGUAGCUGGGCUUGGGCUUGGCUCGGAAACUACUCUCUUAUGAUACAAUUAAUUCCGUAAAUGCACUGUUUCUCUAUUUUGUUUGUACAAAAAAAAAGAUUAUGAGGCUAUGUUGUUAGAGAUCCCAGGCUCUGUAGCUCAAAUGCUCAAUGCAGAAACCAGCUGGUCACUUGGUCAGUGCAUCAGUAUGCCGCUACGGUGGUAGACCAGCUUUUAGUGUGGGGGCAGCACUGAAACUGAUGAUGAUGCGGUCGUACGCGUACGUACAGUGUUUAUACUGCAGCUGCACGAUCUUUCAUGGCCUGGGUCUCGGUGGGGUUUCGCCCUGCAACCUGCAUUGGCAAAGCAUGGCAUGGGUCUUCUUCUCGAGGCUGCUCCUCUCCCACGCCAUGUCCACUCAGGAUAUCAGGAGUACUGCAGUUCGUAAACCAAUCUGUAUUUCAAAUCUUCUAAUAGAUUUUGCAGCGACUGAUGAUAUGUGAUAAGAGAAAUUUAUAGUCAAAGUAUAUGUCUAAUAAAUAAUUUUUACAAAAUCCUAUAGCGUCUCAGAAAAAGAAAGGGAGAUUUACCUGCUCGCUAUAUUCAGCCCUUUGUCACUAGUCGUGCAGUGCAUCUUACCUGCAACCUAAUAAUUAUUGGAGUAAACUAAUUUAACAGUACUCCUACUACUUCCAAUAAACAAGUAGGAGACUUUUGGCAGGCUGUUCAUGUUUCAGUGUCACCAUUUCUUUACUGCUUAUACUAAGUACUGGGCAGGUGAAAACUGUCCAAGGAUCUAUCCAAGCUGAUGUGGCCCGUAACCAGUUUAAAUUUUUUGAAUUCGUACUGGCUGCUGAUCUCUAGCUAUUUUAUUCGCCCUUUGUUAGCUUAUAGGUGUUUAUGUUAGUACCAUCUAAACCUGUACUACUGUUAACCUUCUUGAUCUGACAUAGGUUAGUUGUGCAUAUAUUGUACUUUCUGAAACUUUGGGAUUCUCUAAUGUUUUGUACUAGCAUUUCUUAGAGUAGUAGCUUCUUAAUCGCUGAGAAGACCUAUACAUGUAUGGCGCUAAUUGAAUCUUACUACUAUAGUUGUACAGUUUGUUAAACAAUGAGUUAUAUAGUACAACUGGUUUCUGUUUGCUUAGAAAAACUCGGCCUGGGAGCUAGGUCCUGCUCAAUCCGUUCUUAAUUAGAGCAAUUUGAAUCAUUGAAUGGCGAAUAAUCUUACAAGCUGAAGAUCAACAUGGGAUCAGGAAAUUAAGCACAUAGAAGUACUUCGUUUUGUGCACUAAUUGCAGCUAGGUUAGGUACGGUGUGCUUAAAAAGAGUUUUUAAUCUCGGAACUUGCAAGUUGAUGAUCCCUUUAUUUUGUUUGCAAUGUGUAUUUUGUUUUGUUAGGAUGAGAAGACUCAUUUAUGUGCUAUAUAUAAAAUUAUAAUAAUAUAAGCAAGGUCGAAUAUAGUAAUGAAAAUCACUUUAUUUGUGUCUCGAGAAUUAUGUAAUGCGUCCUGAAACUCUUGUCAUAAUAGUUGGUCAAUGCUCGUCAUAACGAAAUGAAAUAAAGAUUGUAAAUUUAAAAUAGAGUGAGAACCUUUGUAGAAACACAUUUCAUUAAGUAGCAUGAGGUGGUACCAUUUGCCUCGCCAUUGGCAAGCUGGUCGGCUCUUGGCUUUGCCCAUUGUCCAUUGUCGAGGUGGCCCAGCUUUGAGCACCGAAACUCAUAACGAUAGUGCCGUACGCCGAGAUACAUACAAUGCACUAGUAAUGUCUUGUGUACGUACAAGCUGCACGGUCUUUUAUGUUGUGGUACCCAUUGUAGUAAAGCAUGUGUCUUCCAUGCUUCCUUCAUGUGGUGCAGCGCGCCCUCGGUUCUUGCAAAACUUGUGUAAUUAUGAAUUGCCAUUGGCCAUACUAUCUAUGUUAGUAUGUUGCACAAUGUCAUCUUUUAUAUUGUCUCGUGCACUGUUAAAUUGAUUUUUUUUUCAUGACGUGGUUGUCUACUAAAACAAAGGUCUUAUAACAAAAAUUAGGAAUAUGAGACCACUUCAAGAAUCAAGAGCUCUAGCCUCAUAUCUUAGAAUUCAGUACAGAUUUGAAUCAAGUAUUACGAAUUAGAAUCCUUAGCUAAAUGAAUAAGACAGGUCUUCAAGAGUAACUGAAUGAACCCGACUGACUAUAGCUCGUCUUUUCUCUGUGGCCAGUACACACGGUCUCUGUCUCCUUUCUCAGAACAGUAGCGCAACAAAAAGGCACAACACCCCAUUAACGGCCACAUGGUAGCGAUGCAGCAGGGCAUUGGAAUCGUCCGCAGCAGCAUUAUACAUCGACGUCCGCUCGUCAGCAGCAGCAUCAUAACCCCCAUUGAAAGGGGCCAAAGAUUGAAUGGGACGACGAGAUGCAUGGACGGAGCCGUGCGAAUCGCAAAUCACUGCAUGGCGCAUGCAAAACCAAGAGGAAUCAUCCAAACGCAAGAAGAGGUCUACAAACAUUGGGACGGCCUCUCCUCAUUCAUCAUAAUAUGCAGGCCAGUUUUCAGUUUCUCACAUGGAGAUCGAGCGCCCACUGUUGGCACCUUAAAAGUUCAGGCCCAACAUUCAGACAAUGAUGAUCAUGCUCCCCGAGAACGGGAAACAGUAAAACAAAUGUUCAGAGAUGAAGGCAUCUGUUGAAGACCACCACCAAACAGGAACCAAAUUAUUCAGACAAGGUUCCUGGGAAUGUAAAAUUAUUUUUCAAACCAGGAUAAAAUUCAAUCUUUUUGUGCUGUGGAUGCAAUUGUUCUAUGCAUGUGCCCUACACACAUUUACUCAACAAUGUUAAGGGCCUCUGCUCAGGACCAUAGUGUUAGAGAGAGAUCAGCGCAGGCAAUUCUCUGAAACUGCGCAAGCUACGGACUCAGGCCGGUUUGGUGCGGCUCCUCGGGGCUCCGACUUCCCUGGAGCGACACUGUUCACACACUGUUCAUCGAAGCUGAUUUACUCUCUCCUCCCCCUCCCCCUCACAGACCUUAGAGGAGCCGGUGAAGUCACAAAUUGUGGCUCCUCCGACUCCAGCUCCUCUGACACCCUGCCACACGCUACAGUGUAGGAGCCGGAGCCCCAAGGAACUCGACCAAACUGGCUUUCAUUCAUUCAUUCACACACUUGACACUCUCAGCUGAUAUAAUUGUGCCAUAACCGCAAUAUGGUACAGUAUUAUGAAAAGUAGGAGCUCAAUAAUGUCUCUGCUCCAAUGACAAAAACCACCAAAGAUGGGAAUCCGGGCGAUGCAUGAAAACCAUAAUCUUUUUUCCAGUAUGAUAAUAUUUUACAUAUAUGGCCACGAUUUUUUCAUCGGGAAACAUAUGAAGUACCUCAUUCCACGUAUGGAUUAUACAACCACUGAAGCCCCAGGGAGUGCCAGGUAUUCAAACUAUACACUGUAAAAUAAGUUAGAACACUAUACAAGCAUAAAUGUUAACAUUCACACACAGUUCCACAGCCUUCUGUUCUACUGAUGAAAUAGUUUUUUUGCUGAUGUGAAGACAGCUGAGAAUUAAAGGGCAGGCAAACUCCCAAUUGUCUAGGGUGCAGGAGGAUUCCGAAGGGAAUUCCCUGCUUCGGCACAGGAGGAUGCAUGCAAAGGAGAACAGUGUAUAAACUUUGCAACAACCAAUGGAACCGGUUUGUGAAAAACAAAACCUGAACAAAAUAGUUCCUCUGGGGCCUGGAAACGUCAGCCUCUGAAACCUGAAUGCCCAGUUCCUCCCCGUCAUUCUUCCCAGUCCCCCAACAUUGAAUCCACUGCAAUGCUUAGGCACACAGUUUCAUGCCCAUUGCUGAAUCAAAUGAAAUCAUACCAUGCAGUGCAGUUGGCUGCCCAGUUCAUUCCAGAAUUCAUAUUGCACAUCCAGGUCUGCAGCAUGGUUUUUUUAUUCCAGAGAGAGAGAGAGAGAGAGAGAGAGAGAGAGAGAGAGAGAGAGAGAGAGAGAGAGUGAGACCAGACUGCAGAAGCAGAAUUCAUGUAUGGCUUGUCCUGGUAGGAAGCAACACAUAUUUAUGUUGCUGAGAUGCAUAGGUAGAGAUGGUACAGUCAUAGAGGGACAGCAGGAAUUGAAAGCUAAGUAUCAUUACUGAUGAAAGCCUGAAAGGACUAGAGAGGCCUGCAUUGGCAUUAAUGUCGUGUUCUGAGGUUUCUGCUAUCAUCAUGCAUGUCAACAUUUGGCAAUGGUAGAUCAGUAGUAGAUGCAAAUUCUGCAUGAAGAGACACUCUCUUGAGCUCAUUUGGAGUAGUGUGCAGCAUAAUAUAUCCACCAAAAAAGACUUUUUGUUUCUCAAAGACAAUAAGGGCACAUGCAUGGAUUAAAUAAAAAAAAUUCUCCACAUUAACGGCCCCAGCCAUUGCCAGUAGCCCAGAUUCAAGUUGAAGGUUAAUUCGGUUAGGUGUAAUUUUUUUUAAAAAAAAUAAAUUGCGAUACCAGGGAUCGAUAGAAAAAAGAUUCAAUUUUGAAACGGGACCAUCCUAUGAGACCAGGUCUGAUAUACGCCUGGUAACAUCACUGGACAGAAUAGAUCCUUGCAGCGGUGCCUUAGCCAAAGGAAUUAAAAUCCUGUUCAUAGAGUCAUUGGCUCCUGGUCCUGGAAUGGUUGCUGGUAAAUUUUCUACCGCAGUAGUUUUGUUUUUCCGAGACGCUGCAAAUCGAUAACUUGGUCAAUGCCCUCUUAACAUCUCGAAAGAAGUUGCCAUGAUGAAUGCCCCCAUUGGCAUCACGGUCCGAUUACUCCGAGAUGGAAUUGAUAUUCUGAUUAGUGCUCACCAAAUCAUCACUUUAUUGGCUGAUUAGCUCAAGGCUUAUGAAGCUAUGAUACAACGGGCAUAUGUUUUGCUUUGACCAUCAUCAACGGUUAAACUACCGUAUAGAUAUGUUCAUGUUACCACUUACCAACCAGGCUCAUCUUGAAGGAUACUUUCAAAAUUUGUAUUUAUGUUUAUUUAAAAUAAUAUAUUUUUUAUAUUGCUAAUCAAAUGAGACCGUGCAUAUAUUGCUCAUUUUUUUCAACCAUUCGAAAAUUUCUAUAUACGAUGGGCUUCUAUAUCAGGAUCCGAGGGAAUAAUAAAUUUACAUAACAGAUUGUCAGCACAAGUCCCAUUUCUGUGACGGAAGGUCGUGUGUUGAAUCAUCCAUUUGACAUAGCCCUUGUUUACUUCACCCCCAACUCCUAACUUUAGCACUAUGCAAAAAGAAGAUUCCCCAUCACAUCAAACUUGCGGUACAUGCAUGGAGUACUAAAUGUAGAUGAAAUUAAAAACUAAUUGCACAGUUUUGUUGUACUUUGCGAGACGAAUCUUUUGAGCCUAAUUAGUCAAUGUUUGGACAAUAAUUCACAAAUACAAACGAAACGCUACAGUGUGCUACAGUGCCAGCACAGUAAUUUGGCACCUCCCAAUUUGGCCAAGGCCUUGUUUAGUACCACCCAAACUCCUAAUUUUGACACUAUGCAAAAAGAAGAUUCCCCGUCACAUCAAACUUGCGGUAUGAGUACUAAAUGUAGACGAAAUCAAAAACUAAUUGCACAGUUUUGUUGUACUUUGCGAGACGAAUCUUUUGAGCCUAAUUAGUCAAUAUUUGGACAAUAAUUCACAAAUACAAAUGAAACGCUACAGUGUGCUACAGUACUACAACAGUAAUUUUGGGCACCCAAAUUCAGGGCAACUAAACAAGGCCCAACUAAACAAGGCCAUAGCCCAUAUCGAAAAGCCCAGAAAAUGGAACAGAAAAUUAGUAACGGGCAUUAUAUUAUAUGGGCCACAAAGUUCCAUAGAAUCAUGCUAACAAGCUUGUUCUUUUCCAUCACGCACAAGAAGCCCCCACUCAUGCUAUAUGGGCAGUAUUAUUCUAUACGGGCCAAACAGUUGCAGGGCCUAGGCAACCCCUCCUGGGCCCUGGCGACAAAACAAAACAGCUCGUCCCAACUCAAUUUAGACCCUUUCCCCAAAACAGGCGGCACACAGUUAUUGUACAGCUAGUGUACAAGUACAAGACAAACGGGCAUUACACAAUUAUAUUCAUGUGUGAAACAUAAUUUUCAGGAACUAAAUCAGCACAUGAAAAAUUCGCCAUUCCGUGCAACAAGUCAUGCAUUUUCUAGAGCCUCUAAGAAAACAACCCUUAACCCCGGUUGCCCUUACUAUGUCCUGAGCUCUGCUUCUACAUUGCAGUCUGAUCAGCAUCACAUUAUAGGGUGUGUUCUCCAGGUCAAUCUAUUGAUUGAGCCUAUAGCUUCUUCCUCUGAAGGCACCAGUACCGCCGGUGUUGGCUGGUGGUCGGACUGGAGAGUUUGCCUGCACACCUAUUCUGAAUCGAGCAACGAUGCUGUGUCUGUGCAAGUGCAGAGGUUAAGGAGACAAACAGAAUAUUGAUGUAGCUAUCUGCAAUCUGAGAUAAAACUAUUUGCUCAAGACCGUGUAAAAGGAUACACCCAUUUCGGAGUCUUCAGAUAAUUCUUUCCAGUGGCUAGUGGGUGCAACACCGCCAGGAAGUAGUAUAGAUGUCCAACCAUGAUACCCAGAAGGCCAGGCAGUAACGGUGAUCCAAAUAUCACAUCCAAUCCGAGCAUAGCCCAUGGAAGAUAAAAUGACUGCAAACAAGAGAGUAUCAUCAACAACUUGGACAUAUACUGGCAGGUCCACAAGGGCUACUGCAUCGAUUGUGCAACAUAAAGAUGGACGAUGCACUCAAUAGUUCAGUGAUGUUGCAUACCCUCAAUUGGACGAGGCCGUACAUAUUUAUCUGAGAAUUCGGAUACUCUCGGCUCCAAACAUAUAGAAGCAUGCUGACCAUAGGUAUUCCCAAGAAUGAAAACUCAAAUAGGGGAAUAGCUGACACUACCUGAUUCAAGAAAUACACAAUCGACGCAUGUUUAGUAAUUGUCUCUUGGUUUGCGAAUCGAAAAGGGUAAAACUAACCACUGACCAGUAGUGAGAUAGCUCCAAAUAUCAUCAUCCACAAGAAAUCUGCAGUCCGCUUUUCGAAUGCACCCUUUUCCAACUGCACACCAUACCUUGCUCUAUAUGCCAAAAUGAAUAAAUCAAUUUCGAACAACUACUGCAAGUUAACUAUUGAUAAUAUUGUGGAAGUAACCUGUUCACUAAUUGGUGUUCAGAAAAACUAACUUACAUCAUCAGAAGGCGAAUACCAAAGUUGAUGGAAAAUGGGCCCAGAAAAAAGAAAUUUGUAAAUAACCUCCAUAUCUGUAAGGCAAAAAAAAACAUUUAAAAAAUAAAUAAGAAGAUAAGAUUGUAAAACAAGUAUUGUACAAAUUCCAAACAUAAGCAGAUGACAGACUGCACCACAGAUUAAAUUGAUAAGACGAUACUCUGAUAUGUUUAUAAACGUACAGCAGGAGAGAUAUAGCAACAGAUAUUCCAAAUCCAGGAGGAACAAAUCCUUAUCCUCCCCAAUCUAAUAAUCAGACAAGGUGUGAAUUCUGGGUACCAUAUACUAUGCAGAGGUAAUAAUUUAGAAGGGGUCAUUUAUUCUUUGGUUGCCAGUUUAUUAAAGAGUUGUUGUGACUUGAUUGCCAUUCAGUGUUACAUCUCACUAGAUACGGCUGUCGUGGAGAAUCAUUACCUAGAGAAACAUUAAGGAAUUAGUAAAUUUUAGUGCUUGCAUAUACUCUAUCUAGUCGCAAAGGAAUGGUCUAAUCUUUGAGAAGAUUCCUCCCAAUAAACAUUUAUGGAAGAUAAGGUCAAUUUCUGACAUGGAUCUCUUAAAGACAAGGGCGAGCCUUAUCUUUUUCCUUGGCUUCAUUUAAUUUAAAGGCUCGUUAUUUGAUGAUCUUGUAAUUUUGAUUUGACAUGUGUGUUUUCCCAUGUAUCCAUGGUCUCAUACACCUUUUGUAUACACCUAUGCAUAAUAUAUAAUUAUUUAGUAGGGUCCUCCUCACCCAACUGUUCUAAUAAAAUCAGCACGUUGCAACUGUUAUGAUAUACUCUAACAGCGACAUCCCUCCUAUGCAGACUUACAAAGUUUUGCAGGCACAACUGAGGAAUCUGAAUCUGCAGAAAUCUGGUGCGAUUAGGAUAAGGAAAAGGGAAAACAGAAGCUAACCUCAAAGUUCUUGAACACCCAGGGGUAAUAUAAGGCAAUAAAUUUUGGGUCCAGUAUCCGAAGCUGAACCAGGACGGUGGUAAAGAAACACAACGUCCCAUAUGCCUUGCUUAUAGGUGGGAGUGAAUUGUAGUACCUGAAAUAGGCAAGUAAGUGACUACACAUGAUACAGAGCAAAACUAGCAAACUACUGGUCACUGGACAUUUCGUAACUCUGAUCAGAAUUUUUCAUUUCAAUGGUGAUUAUGACAGGCUCAUACCACGUUUGCCCCCAUUAUUGCAUACGGAGUAUGCUAUAUUACAAAUGGACCAAUGUUUAUCAUAGGGGCAUACACUACCUGUUUUCCGGACAAAUCAAAAUAAAUGAUAUGACAAUAGUUAAAGUGAUCAGCAUAGGUGCAAAGACCUUACAGCAAAAGUACUUCCUCCAUUUCGAACCAUAAUGCAUACAGUUUUCUAAUCUUGUUUAGUAAUACCUAAGUUUAAAGGAAAUUUGAUCGUGAUCUCUUUUUACCCUCAUUUAUUGUCUCUCUGUCCAGAAAAAAAUAUUAGAAAAUUUACCCAAUAUAAACAAAUUUAUUCAGAUUUGCUGAAUGUAGGUUCUUCACAGAGUAUUUACAUACUAUGCCAAUCAUUUACGCAUAAAAAGGUAAAGAUAAAAGGGUUCUCAUUGGAGAUUGUUGAUAUUCGAAACAACGAUUGAAACAAAAUGGAGGUAAUAACCUCCUUGAUCAUCGUAUUUGGGCACAUAUGCAAUACAAAAGGUAAGAAAGGAGUGUUUAACAUAGUCAAUUACAAGCAGGCCUAAAACUGGUGGCAACACCAAAGCCCAUAUCAAUACCCCAGGUCUCUAGUAACAAAUAUGAAGAGAAAAAAGAAAUCAGAAAAGUUAACAGCUACAUGGUCUGAGAAGGAUGCCAAACCAGUUCAGUCAUUAUAAACUACUCCCUCCGUCCCAAAUUGUAGGUCGUUUUGGCUAACUAUGCACCUAUAUAUAGUGUAUGUCUAGAUGCAUAAUAAUAUCCAUGGAUCUAGAAAAGCCAAAACGGCCUACAAUUUGAAACGGAGGGAGUAGUACAAAAUGGCAGAAGCAAGAGCAAAUUCAUGUAUUCUAACUCUCAGCACAGAUAGUUUUAAUCAAGUCCAUUUUCAAAUUUGAUGAGGCCGUCCCUUAUAUUAUCAAGGAUCAUCAAACCGGAUGUCUUCGAAGCAAGUAUAUUGUCAGCACAGUUUCCCAACAAAUAGGCUUAUUAAGGUGAAAGACAAACCGCACCCAUUUGUAAAUUUUGAAGUCAGCAUAGUGCAAGAGCAUCACUACUUUAUAGACUAGCUCUGCACUUCAGGUGAUGCACACUACAGGUCUUCCCUUGGUAUUAAACAACUGGAGAAUCACGCUUACGUCCAAUCCAUAACACUUCAGUGACACAUAGAUCAGAGUUAACGAAGAACAUCAUCCAAUCAGCCUAAAUACCACAAACCCUAAGGGUCCAAAUUGGCAUCACGAACACGCGCCCACAGGCCACAGCCUCCUACCCUCACAACACCCAGGAUAAACCCACCAUACUGGAUCAAAAUGAUAAAAUUAAUCGAUUAUUCGGAAUGGUCUAGCUCAAAUUUUUCCAGCGAUCCCCAACAGGAACGAGGCGGCCUAAAAAUAUACCACAUCUGCGCGUCGGAAUCUGAGAUUGAAGCUCAAAGUCAGACGAAACCGCUGUCAGAUUCGAGGGUACUCACUCGGCCGGCGAAGACAUCUCGUCGCGUCGAUCGAUCCGAGGCUUCGGUGUCUCCUGGUCCAGUCUCUCGCGUCCGCGUCCUUCUCCUCGUAGGUCCGUUCGAAGCUUGGGGAGGAGGAGAAGAAGGGCUGGGGGUGAGAGGGGGAGGUCGCCGCGCCUGCGCGAACCUUCCUAAGGAGAAGAAGAGACACGGACCGUUGAUUGCAGAUCGGAGGGGUGACAACGGUUGGACACGUAGGGGGGCGCGCUGCGGCGCAGGCGAUUGGUCGGGUUACGCGGCUGGGUGCUGAGGUGGCCCUGGUGACGUGGUUAAUCGUGCGUUUGCAUGAAAUUCCACGGAAUUUUAAAUCCUGUUCGCAGUAAAUAGAAUAGAAAAAAAUUGGAAAGGAGGCUGCUUCUAGCGGCUGAAUGUAUGAUCUGGCGCUAGCAUCGAACGCAUUCUUCAUUGUUCCACUAUGGCAGCAACAAGCAAUAUUCGAGUGAUCUGAUUCGAAAAGAAAACCACCCACCUCAAUCUGAACAAAUUGAGACAAAAAAAAAACUAACGCAACAUCUUCUGGUCGAGGUUCAAUUGUAAUAAAACAGCCACACCAAAAUUGCCAUGAUCUCCCAUUCCAUGCAGUGCAAUGGUGCAAUAAAUAGGGACGUCCUAUGGGUUACAAUCAAGCACCAACGAUAAAAACUUGAUUCUAUUUUAGAAAAUGGAUAAUUUUAUAAUUUAUGAUUGAAAAUUACCAUAUAAACCCCAAAUCAAAUUGGGCAAAUAUGCUACAAACCAUGCAAGUAUCUGCCAUAGACUUGUAUACUUUCCACACGUGAAACUAGAAUGUCGCAAUAACAAACUUCACUCCCAUGCUAGCAUGACAAAAAAAUGAUGAUGAAACGUACUCAUGGUAGCACGAAAAAUGAUGAUGAAACGUCCUUAUGGUAGCAUGACAAUUUCAAUUGGCAUACUUUUCAGCCAAUCCUCACCGACAAUGCAACAUCUCUUCUCUGCUUCACUCCAAUGGUUUUCCAAUUCAUUUUUUUUUAAAAAAAACAAAUAUCUAAAAGAAUUCCAAUGCAACUCUUCAAAACAUAGAAAUGGCGAGAUGACUUAUUUCACGAUAAGUUUGGAGGAUACUUUCCCUUUUCUUCGAAGCCACUAACGUGGAACAUUGGCUUUACAUCGGAUCGAGAUUAGAUGUUUGUGAUUCCAUCACAAAAAAAUAAAAAGAUUAGAUGUCUGUGGUAAGUAUAUAGAUAUGGUUGUGAAUCUUUUUGGAGGCGAUUGGCCUGGUCAUGCUGCUGUUGCGCGCUUGUGGUCUCGGGGCCUUGGAUUGGAUCACCCGAUUGACCCAAUAGUUAGAGGAGGGAUCAAUUACAUGGGUCGUCGCGAGGAAAGGAGGCCACAAGAAUCCUUCUUGCUGGAAUAUGCGGGGGAGCAGAGCCUCCUCGCGCGAUGCCGCGGUGCGUGGCCCCGUGGCCGUGACGGGCGGUUGCAAGUCAGGCCGGCCGUCGUCGGGCGGGCUCCCGCCGGGGACGAACGACUACGAACGACUGAGCGAGUGCUUUGUGCACCGAACAGUGCACCACCGCAGGGAUGGGUGCGGUGUUGUGUGGUGGCCUUGUGAUCGGGGAACCCAAAGUACCCAGGCCCCUCAUCCCACGUGACGCGACCAAGGGUCCUUGUGUCCCGUAGAGCCAUGUGCCCGCCCGACCGGUGAUUUCUCUGCCCGGCUACCGGGCUCUGAUCUUAUCCCAAUCGCCCAGGCAGGCUCCCGUGCCGUCCGGUCCCCGGCUGACACGGGCGCGGCAGCGUGGCCGAGGCAGCAACAAACCAGCCGGAUGCCCGGAUCCAAGAACAAACCACGUCCCCUUCUCCUCUAUCUCCUCCGCACCGGCGGCCGUCCUCUCCCUUCGUCGAGGCACGGAUCGGAAGCCGAGCAGGUGCAGCGCCCCUGUUUGCGCCUCCUUCCUCUCUGCUUCCUCCGCCCUGCCAGUGCCAGGACAAGACAAACAAAAGGAGAGGGAUUCUUUUUUAGAGCCAACAAGCUGUGUGCAUUAGCAAAUACUGGUUGAGUCGUGCGUCGAGUCAAACUAUCACACUACGCUUUGAAACGCCAACUGGUGUAGCAUUCGUAAGGCCCAAGUAAGGUGAUGAUAGGGAUGGUGGUGCUACACGAGUCCGUGUGGUGACAAAAGGCAGGCGGCACGCGUUCGUAGCGCCCAAGCAACAAAGAAUUCCCCGUUCUCUCUCCCCAAAGACUGCGAAAUAGGGGAAUGCAAAAUUUGCAUGUGCUUUUGUUAUUUUUUUCGUUGCCUCGUCUCUCAUUGAAGAAAAAGUAUACAGCAUCGGAUUGAUCACAUUCUAUUUAGCUCAUUUAAGCUAUGGUUCUAAGUUUGGGAACCAUAUACCAAGAUACAACCGUUUCGUUGAUCCCGGUACAAUCAUUCUAAUUUGUUAUCACCGGUUUUGGAAACGAGACAAUUAAUACUCUCAUACGUUGGACGAAGUGAAACUUGUCUCUCCUCGAAGACUUAUGAUCGCAAGAUGUUUUGAAUGACACCAAAUUUAGAUUAAUAAACAUAUAAAGAUCGGUUUCUUUUUUUCUUGAGCUCUGCUCUUGUCGUGCAUAUUUCGAACCAGCCAACUAGGUAUGUGAACCCAAAGCACCUGCUACAUCCAAAGCCAAAAUCAGAAAGGCAAAAUCAUGAUUCGAUGAACAACGAAAAGAUCUGCAAAUUUUAUCUUCUGAUGCUGCACGAUUGGUGGGGUUUAUCAGCAUCUUGACCAGGCAACCCCAAUCAUCCCACAAAACCCAAACAGCCCCCUCCUCCUUUCCCCGUCUAUAAAUAGAUCCCCAGAAACCCGAUCCCCAAAACAAGCAGCGCACCAGGAUCCUCUCCCCGGAGCAGUUUCCAAUCCCAUCCUCUUCUUCCUCUCCCUCUCUUGCAGUUGGAGCAGCCAGCGAUCGAAGCAGCAGCCAUGGACGGCGGCAAGAAGGGCCGGAACGCGCACAAGGCCUCCGCCGACCACCGCAGCGACCGCAAGUCGGCCACCGGCAUGAGCGGCGACCCCAAGAAGGGCGGCCGCGGCGGCAAGUUCACCUGGGAGGGCGCCGACGGCUACGCCGACGAGGACCUCGACCUCAUCUCCAACAAGAACAACGGCGGCCGCGCCGGCAAGGGGGGCGCCACCGCCAACGCCGCCAAGAAGGACGACGGCGACGACGAGUAGGCCUCGGCCUCCGCCCGCCCGCCCGGUCCGAUCGGUUGCCAGCAACUCAAGCAAGUUCUCCUAUUGUAAUUCCUCAGUCGCUGUUCGGUUCUCGAGUCGAAUAAUCAUGUGGGUCUAGGCGUCGUGUUCGCGAGUUUGUAGCCUGCUACUAGCGGAGAGCCAGUGGGCGAUCGACGGGCCGUGCAGGGUCUGUAGAUAUCAUCAUCUCACCUCCUCUGUCCUUGACUUGCUGAUGUUUGGGGUCUGAAUUCUCAGUUCUUGGAAGGACUUAUAUUAAUUUCCAGAGUCGUUGGCUGAAUCGUGUUGUCUGCUGCUGUUCUUUGCUCUGAAUCACUUCAGCACCCACUCUGGACUUUACUUUUGCGUUUGUUCAUGAUCGCCAGGUGCAACGUCUUUUACGGUUUCAGUCUUUCAGAUGAGCAGAUCCGUAACUGAAGCAGACAGCAAGGAAGGAAGGGGAAUGAUUGCAAUGUUAACCUUUUUUUAUUUUCGGGUGAGGGAUUGCAAUGUUUAUCUUGAAUUGGAUAACGAUGACUCUGCAAUUUUUCCAAACGAUCUGUUUUCAUGACAACUCUGCUGUCUGUUGUCACUUGUCACCCAUGCCUUUCCUUUGUUCACACUGAACAGACACUUCUCUGUAUAGGCUGUAGCAGCACGGAUCACGGAGCAAACGAUGGAUUCACUGAAUUAUCCCAACUCGUAUGGCAUUUCUCUGAAGAUCUCGUAUGAUCUCGCAGUUGCAUGCAUCUUUGAGCAGUUCAGUGACCAGGCCAUUCUCUGCAGCAUUUUGUGAUUCACAGUUGCAAGGAGUCGCUCUCGCGAUCGUUGUCCUACCACCAGCGUAUGAAAAUCAUUCAUCACCACCCUUCCAUUUUUUUAGAUGGGAGAUGGGUCCCCAAUAAUCUAAGGAAAGCGGAUUUGUCAUCAUUCGGAGUCUAUCCAAAUACAGCGAAUUUUUUUUAUCCUAUUGUAUGGAUAACCUGGAACAAAAUGUUCAUCUACUUACAGUUGAUGGAGGCAAAUAGUACGUGGCAUAGAAAUCACAUGAAACAAUGUCGCCGUGCUGCCAAACUGUUUCAGCGCUUGAUGAACAUUUGCAGGUCCAUGAUGACAAAAUUGAUGUUUAUAACUGAGGAAUAUUGUGAUAAACUAACCAAUGGUAAAUAUUUUGAUACGGAGGCAGUAAUAAAGGAUAACUCCGACUUUUUGUGGAAAAAGAAGAAUAAUCCAAUGGGAUAGCUGCAUCAGCCCAACUCAUUCAUCAUUGUCUUCAGGUUGGCCCUAACAAAAUGAAAAGCCCACGUUAGAAUAAAGGGCGCGUGCGGCCUGCAAAAUAAUGGCAUUGCCGCCUUUCCCUGGAAUCGUCCGUGGCCCAUGGCCCAAAAUCAAGAGAGACUUCCCAUUUUGUUUCAGUCACCACUCUGCAAAAACAAGCUCAUCGUUGUCCACCACAUGCGUGGAGGCGUGGAGCCCUGCCGAAAGACAUGCAAGAGCCCAGCUUCAGCGCCGCGCAUGGCAGCAUAGCGUGGCGAAAAUAGCGCCGGCGCUCCGUAUAAUUCAGCAGGCACGCAUGCGAGUGAUCCCAUCUCAUGGGCCCAACGUAUGAUGAUAGAAGAGUUUCACCACGUGAUCUCGGCCCACCAAAUGAUCAGGUCCAAUAAUGUAUAAUGUAUGGCCGUGCAAUUAGUGGCUUUUCCGCUACCUCCCAAAAGAAUUGUGGCUUUUCCCCUCCAGCUCUGCUCAGCUAUCCGCCAAGCGAAGCGAGGGUGUUCGCCCAGCUCGCUUGGGUUCGAUUCCUGGACGGUGUUUCAUCGGUGUUUUUUCCCAAUUGCACUCAGGAUUAGUACUAAGUUUGUUAGAGUACACACACAUACACAUAACUAGUACUGCACAUUUUUCGUGCACCGGAGGUUUAGACCUCCUAAUAUCUUCCAUAAACGUGUGUAUGGACGCGCACGCGUGUGCGUGCGUGGUGUGAGUGUACAGUGUGUUGGUUAUGUGCGUCCUUGUUCCUUUUAAAAAAGCUAUCCGCCAAGCAUGCCAGCACUGGAGCAUAGCAUCUUCAGGGAAUCAGCGGUAGGAUGCAUGGGAUGUCCGUGGAUUAGAUAAUCUGCAUCUUUUGGCUCGUGUUUCUUCAGGGAUCAUACAACUCACGGAAAGGUAACGCGAGAUUUCGGAAAAGGUCUGUCUGAAACUUGAGAGUGUCAAUGGUGCAGCGGUCCCAUGCGCUGUGCGAGCACGGAGGGCUCUCUGUACUGCACUGCAGUACUGGUCCUGUGCCGUCGUGCCGAGAAAAUUCAAAGUGUGUCCAUCUUCAGCGGUAGGCAUGGAGAGGCCAACCAGCAACUGCUCUCCCGUAGCCGUAAUAAUGCAGCUCGUGGAGGGAACGGAGGCGGGGCAGCCUUGUUCCACUGAUCAAUCCAAGCACACUACUAUUCCUUAAACUAACCCAAACUAACCUGUCCUGGGCAUCGAACAAUGGUGUUCUUCAGUUUUUACUUACUCUGCUCCAAAGGCACGUUCCUGUCCAUUGAAUGUUAUUUGAUACGUUUGUGUUUGAUUGCUGUUAGCUGGAUGGUAUACGGACUUAUCCACUAACCACCUUUCAAUGAAAAGCAUGCUUGUACUAAACAAAAAAGAGACCCUCUUACAGUCUUACUUAUAUUACCAAGUGUUGUCAGAGAGAUGUAAUGAUGUAUCGACCUAACAGGAGCAAUAAGUAACGCACGGACUGAUGUUGGUAAUGCACGUAGUCCAAUAACUCCGCUACCUAAUUAUGCUGCUGAUUAGUGAACUAGUUAAUAAACCGCUUCUCACCAUUGUUCUACCGAUAUAGCAUUCCAAAUUUACAUGACAAGGAUGCCUUGCGUUGACAGUUGCAACCACAUAGCAUUUCGAGCCAAUUACCUUUUAUGGGACUAACUAGUUAAAAUCUUUUAAUGCAAUUUUGUUCUCGUUCACGAAUUGCACAACUCACUGAGGCCACUGUACUACGAAGCAGGAGAAAGAUUUCGAUCAAUUUUAUAAUAUAUUCAGUGAUCCUUGUAAUAUAAACUUGGAUUAUAGCGUCUAUCAGUUCAGCUUGAGCUCGGGAUUUUAUAUUACAAAAGAGGCGGAGUAAUGAAAUAAAACCAUGCCAAUUAAGGAUCUGGGUGAGAUAAAUCGAGGCGCUAUAACGUCAUUCCACAAAUCAAGAUAAAUAUUAACUUAGGGCGUGUUUGGCUGACCGCGCCAAAACUGCUCCUGUACCGCCAGACGUUUCAUCUGCCCGCCUUUUGGCAUCGCGUGGUGCAUAAAAUAAACUAAUCUCAUGAACGAUGGUCUGGCUGCGUUGCAACUUUGGCAACCAACCAAACGCGUGACUAAACUUAGGCGCGAGACCUUCGGCAUGGCGCGACGAGUUCUUGUAACGAACCAAACACGACCUGAAAACCUGGAAAAGUCAUCUUUUUUUUCCUUCACUAGUAAAGCUGUCUUAAACGACUCCUAAAUGAAACAUUUUAAGUUUUACUUAUUGAUAGCUACCUUUUUUGUCACUGAUUUCAACUCGUCAAUCAAGAGAGGCUUGUUCGCGAGUAGACCUGAGUAUUUUAAGCACAGCCUGGUCCGAGCCUGAUGGGUUUUGGCUCGCACACGCCAGCUACCGAGCCAGGCGUGGUCAACGAAAAUCAAGCCCGAAAACAAAGGCCAGUCCAAGCCCACCCAAAUAAUUAAUUUUAUUUAUUUUUCAACUAAAAAAGAAUGGGCGUCCCAAGCUCGGCCCGACAACGCACAUGUGCUGUUCGUGGGUUUCAGUUCAAAAUGAACCGGACUUUUUGCCGAUCUAACUUGCAAAAUGCUCACGUCUAUUCACGAGUCCAACUAGCAACGCUAUUUUGCCAGGACAACCUCCACCUCCUCUCUCUCCCUCUCUCGUCUCGAGUCUCAUGUCUCAAUUCAAGGACAAGGCAGGACAACUAAAUGGUACUGCAAAGCAAUCAGACUAGGGAUGUCAACGGGGAAUUCCCCGUCGGGGACUAGGUCCCCAUCCCCGUCCCUGCGGGGGAAAUUUUCCCGUCCCCGUCACCGCCAAAGCUCGCGGGGGACGUUCUGCUCCCAUCCCCGCCCCCCGGCGGGGAAUAUAUCCCUGACGGGGUCCCCGUCGCCGCCUCCCUCCACUGCAUGCUCGACCUCCACGGCAUCAGCUGCUACUGAGCGACGCACAUGACACGGUCUGCACCCUCCGGCGGUCCGGCCACAAGCAUCAAGUUGUUUUUAGCACAAAUGCAAGUAUGAACUCAAACGAGAGAUAAGAUUGGAAAUAGGAGAGGGACGAGAGCUCUAGAACAGAGGGGACUGCUCGAUUCUCAAUUUCUGCUUGGAUGAUAAACGCACAGCAAUACAUGGCGGGGGCGUCGGGUCUUCUGUCUUGUGCUAGUAGCUCGCGCUAGCGCCGGCCGGCAUGCCACGUGCUUGGAGGGCAAGAGGCUGCAGGCUACGGAGAGUAAUCGAUGAGAGGAGGGUCGGAGUCUCAGAGAGGCCUCGCGCAGUCGCACGGUUGCAGCGGCGGCCAUGAGCGGUCCGUGGGGAGGAAUCGAUGGGAGAGCUGAAGAGAGAGAAAUGGACAGAGAUAGAGUUAGUUUGGUGAUAUUUCUAGUACGCUAAUGGGCCUUAGGCCUUAGGUUGGUUGGUUGGGCUGGCUGUAUGGUUCGAUUGGUCGUAUGCACGUUGCAGCGUACCGGGGAUGGGGAAUGGCCGAUCAUGACGGGGAUCAGAUUUCCCCCGUUUAACUCCCCGUGGGGGAUGAACUAGCACCAUCCAUGUCCCGGAAAUUCCCCAUGGGGCAUCGGGGGUCGGGUCCCAUUACCAUCCCUAAAUUAGAGACUUUUCACAAACUGCCAAAAGACUUGCGAUGUUCUGUUACACACUCCACUGAUCUUUGUCGCCGAUGGUCUGCUCCACACUCAACUGGAACUCCAGCUAUUCCUAUGCUUUAUGCCACCCAAGCAGGCCGGCAAUGGAGGUCCCGCGGCCUGCAGCAGUGCGGCUUGCGUUGCGUCCAUUUGGGACGCUGAUUAGAUGGUGUAAGAGGGUGUACGGUCCUCCUCCGGGCAGUAGUGGGGCCGGAGUACCACGUAAGUCUCUCAUCCUCUCUUCCAAUCAGUGACUCACAUGUUGCAACCACAUAUUGAUAAUGACCUGACACUGUAUUGGCAUCUCUAAAGACCUAAAUUUGGUGAAGUUUUUCCACCAUGAUUAGGCCACAUCAUCGAGUAACGUUGUCCGUCGGAUCUCGGGCACUGUCAAUCCCAACCGUCCAGCAUGAGCUUCGCAAUCCUUCGGCGUUCGCCCUUCGCGGCUCCUCGGAUGAAGCGCCUCCGCGGAUUGCUCCCGCUGUUUCUCCUCCUAUCGGCCGCUUCAGCUAGCAUAUCAGAUGGGGGUGCGACACAGAGUCGUUCGGGGUGGUCACGAAUGGACAGGGGAAUAAUGACGCGCGAGCGUGGCUAGGCCCGGCGGCCGAGACUCCGUCACGCAAUAUCUCGGGCGUUAGCAAGAACAGCUAGGCCUGGCAGCCGAAACGGCUUCCUCACCGACACUAGACAUCUCCGUCUGUAUUCACGGCCGGUGACUGCCCUACCUUGGUUCAUUCUACUCAAAUCACUCCUUUUCAGAAUUAGAUAUCCGGAUUGAACUGUCUGAAUUGCAGAUAAGGAACCAAAAGCACUAGCACACGCUCCGACACCGGUGCUCAGCCAGCGACGACGGCUAUGGAAACUAGCGGCGCCCUUCUCCAAUUCACGCCAGUCCUGCGAAAGCGCUCAAAUGGAUGAACAAAGAAGAACUGAAGACAAGACAUCCGAGGAUUUAGCCAGUAGAUAUGGACUCAUGCAGUGUGCCUGUCUGUUCCUUUAGCUUUGCUUGCUGUGCCGGUUCAACAGAGAAAGAAAGAGAACCCAGAGAAAUCAGUUUGGUCACCGCGCCUAGCAACUCUAGCCUGUGAUUUGCAUGCGAGAAGAGAGAGAUGCAGAGAAGCAAUAGAAACAAGUGAAGAGCUAAGCAGGCAAUCAGAGCGAUAAUUGUCAUUCCAAUUACCUCCUUUUCUCCAUUAUAUUUAAUUGGCAGAUAAGCUCAAUACUUGUCUAAUCUUGACGAUGGUGUAGUAUUAAAUGUACUAGUCCAUCAACCCGUGCCCCACAUGAGCUAAUAUUUUUAAAAGUUAUUGUAUUUAAAUAUUAUUUAAAAAUUAAACUUGUAACUAAUAAUAAAAAUUGUUUACCUAUUACUCUCUUAUUUUUUCAAUGCUUCAACAUAAUACUCAUAUCGAUAUGUACUUAUCUUUGUCCAGUUGUGAUUGAUUUUUAAUUAGUAAUUAUUCUAUACAUUUUUUCAUCCACAGUCACAACUUUUUUUUAUUUUGUAUCGUACCUCCAUACAUUGUGUUUAGCAUAAAAAUCAAUAUUUUUCAUCAAUUCCUCACAUAAAUGUAUAAAUAGUCUAAAUGGUGACACUCAUAUCAUGCGUAUAUACAAUGAUAUAAAUAGGUAAUUUAGAAUCAUAUAUUAGUUUACUUUUGAAUAUUUCUGUAUUAUGCACAUGAAAAUAAUUCGAUUAAAAUUUAGGUGUUUACUUUAGGUUAUUUUUAAUAACAACAUAUGUGGGUAACUUAUAUACAAAUUUAGAAUGGUAUUUUAAGUUAUGCUUUUAUAUAAUGAUAUGUAUGAGUAAAUUGAAUGAAAUUAUGGGGUUACUUUAGAUUAUUUUUUAUAAUGGCCGAGCUCAAUAAUUUAUAUAUAGGUUUAGAGUUUAAUUUUAAAUAUUUUCAUAAUGAUAGUGGUGGGUUACUUUUAGAAAGUAUAAUAGACCAAUGACUAUGAUUAUUAGAGUUUACAGGAUUGAUUUUUGAUGUUUUUGAUUUUUGCGAGAAUUUUUAGGAUUUGUCUUUUUUUCUAGCGUGUCUAGUGGGAACUAAUGUAGAGUCUCUAAUGAAAAAAAUAAGACCACAUUGCUAUAAAACUAUUACCUUGAGUUACCUCUCAUUUGUUAAAUAUUCGAACACAAUACUUAUAUAGAUAUAUACCUAUUAUCUUCAUCCAAUUGUAAUAGAUUUUAGUUAGUAAUUACUCUAUAAUAUUUUCAUCCAUAUUUAUAAUCUUUAACCUUUAUACUUCAUCUAUAUCUUUAUAAAUGGUGACACAUAUCAUUCGUAUAUACCUUAAUUAUUAUAUCUUAUACCAAUAGUGUAAGAAAUAGAUGAUGUAGAAUCAUAAAUUGUUGUAUAUUUUUAAUUAAGACGAUUUGGAUUUAAAUGUUGGGUUACCUCAUGUUAUUUUUAAUAAUACCAUAUGUGGGUAAUAUAGAUGCAAAUUUAAGGGGUUACUUUAAGUUUAAGUUUUUUAAGUAUUAGUGGUGGACAAUUUAGUUGCAAAUUUAGGGGGUUAUUUUAAAUAUUUAUAAUAGCUUAAGUGAAUAAUUUUGAUAAAAAUUAGGGGGUUACUUUAGUUAAUUUAUUAAUGGCAAAGGUGGGUAAUUUAGAUACAGAUUUAGGGGGUUACUUGAGGCUAUUUUCAUAAUGGUAUAGGUGGGUAAUUUUUUAAAAAACAUAAUUGAUCCAAUGGCUAUGAUGAUUUGAGUCUACCGAUUGAUGGCUGGAUGUUUUACUUUUUUGUGAAAAUUUCUAGGAAUUCUCUCUUUUUCUAGAGUAUCCACCUAGGAAUCCUAGGUGGCUUCACCUGGAAGCUUCAAAAGGAGACUCCAAUUUGUGGAUGCUUCUCAUUUAGCAUCAUGCACACUUCCAAGUGCGAUACUAAUAUCUAAUCUAUUCAAUUUCAAUUAAGGGUAAGUAUUUCACUACCUUCUUUCUUCACUCGGAAUUAAUUACUAAAUGACUUUAAAAUAUUUCCAAACUUGGAAAUAUGAUUACACAAGCAAAACUAACAUGAGUGCUGACUUAUGUCUUGCUAACACAUGUAGUUCAGCGUUUGGGUAAUCUUUAACUUCCUAACUACAUGUCUUUGUGUUGACGUAUAUGCGUAUGUAACUGUACAAAAUCUAAGAAAAUAUACACUGGUGAGCUCAGAAAGGGCGCGGCAACGACCGCGCCGAGUUUCCAGUGCUAUAGCCUAUAGCAGCUAGCAGGCUGCCAGUGCCAUGGACCCUGGAUCGAGCACCACAUCACUCGCCACUACUGGUGUAUAGGGCACCGCAGGCUCUGCAGCUGCAGACGGGAACGGAUGGCCCAAAUGCAUGCAGCUCAUGAGUCGUGAGGACGGGGAAAUGUAUGGGAGGAGCAUAUAGAUGGCGAGAGUAGCGUGGAGCCAGUCAGCAAGUCAAACACAGCCUUUUGCACGCUUUCUUGCUGGCACUAGAGUGUGGAGUGACGGGUGACGGCGCGGUACAUGUUGAAACGGCAUGCAGUGAAAGUCAAAAGCCUGAAGAAGCAUUCGCAUAUGGUAAAUGCCAGUGGAAUGAAGGAAAAUGAACCUAACUAGUCAUAACCGAAGUUUCGGUUUCUCUAUCUUUUCUGUAUUGUUAUCAAGUGGAUCAAUGUUUCUAGUAGUUUUUUUUUUACCUAAGUCACUUAGGAGAAACUCCAACCUAUUUUUUAUAUUUUUUUUUAAAUUCCGAACUCAUUUAAUUUGUUUCUACGUACCGGAUGUUACUCAUGUGCCCUGAUGAUAUGCUCAGUUGCUUUGAUGAUAUGCUCAGUUGCUUUGCUGCAAAGACCAGGCGCGGACGGAACUUGGAUAAUUAUUCAGUUUGCUGCAUGGACCUUGUUAGUUUUUACUAACCAGCUUUCAAUGAAAAGCAUGCAUGCUGCUUCUAAGCUCCAACAGAAGCAGCACGUACACAGAAGAAACCUCUUAACGGUUUUGAGUGCUGUUAAAGCAAGCUAUCGGGCUAACGAAGAGCAAUAAGUAAUACACCUACUCUUGUUGGUGGAUAACAUAGUCGCUUGUUCAGGUCUACUUCAUCCCUUAAUCUCUAAUAUAAGUAAUCAAUUUAUCAUUAGGAUCUCCAACGAGUCACAUACCAUUGAUAUUUAAAUUAUUUAAACUGUGUGAUGAGUAAUAAUGAAAAUUGCUAUUUAGGUAAUAAAUUUACUGUAUUGUGACCGAAAACAUAUAACAUAUCUAUACCUACAUGGAUUAAAAAAAAUACGCAACUGCGUUCGUAGGUUUUUAUACAUGAUAUACAACUUGGACAAAGUUUUGGUUGAUCUCUUAGAGUUUGAUUAUCGAUAAUAUUUAAAGUUUUGAAACAUAACUAAUCGUGCGUAGAUUUUCCUUGAAAAAUAUUUUCACAACGUCUUACAUCUAGUAGAAUAAAAAUCUAAAUAUAUUAUAAUAAAAAGAUAGUGUUCAUCAAGUGCUAUGACAGGGGCAGCGCGAGUUCUCCACAUAUCAUAAUUUUUUAUUUAUCUAUUCCUAAAUAAUGAAGUACAAACCUUACUGUUGCAAUUUAUAGGCUACACGAACAUUUCGGAUCAACACAUUUAACUGCUUGUUUUGGGACGACGUUGGAUCAGAAACUGUACAUCUUUGGUCCGUGUUUGUUCACGGAUCACACAGCUAAUGUUCAGAUUUCAGAAAAAAAAGGCAUGUCUAAAACUUUUUAGAGUUGACAUGUACCGGUGUCAAUUAUUCCCGUGGUGUCCAUGCACAGUGCAAGUACGGAGGGCUCCCUACUGUUCAGAGUUCAGGGAAAAAGAUCGAUUGGCAGAGGGAGUGGAGUAAUAAGGGAGGACGGUCAAAUUCAUUUUUGUACUGUCCCAUGGGAUUCUCUCUCACACUUGCGAACCGGAUCCUGCACCAUUGCAAUCGAGUGGUAAAUUUCUAGGACUGAUCAUAAAGAGCACCAAUUUCAUGGUCCUGCUCCUGUGCGAGAUUAGGAAUGGAUGAUGAAAAGGCGAUACAGGGAGAGGAUGAAUUAAAGAGCGAUGGUACAGUUAUGAUUAUAAGGAACGAAAGGAGCCAACACAUCUACUUCAUCCGUUCUGAUCAAUCUCUUUUUUUUAAAAAAAUCAAUAGGACUAGCAUAAAUUAUAGGAUUUAUAUUUUAAAACAAAUGAAAAAUUGGUGACAUUCAGUCACAUAGUCUGAUAGCUUGUGAAUGUCACAUAGACUGAUAGCUUGGCUUGAUAGACUGAUAGCUUGUGAAUGAAAAAUUGGUGACAUUCAGUCACAGAUCCAUGGCCAUGCAGCUGGGCCUCAGGAUAAGAAAUAAUAAAACCAUGUGUGAUUCUUGGACGACUUCCCAUUCUGGUCAAGUACCUCUCCAGAAUAUUGAAAUAAAGAAAAACGGCCAGUCAACCUCCAUGCAAUCCAUGGAAACUUAGUUAGAUGUGCUCUAGUCUUUUUGCCAAUUGGGAACAAAAUGCUAGGACCUAGGCGUUCGCUACCUGAAUGGCGUAUUGGCGUAUUGGACCUGAAGGGUGUGUCUGAUUGCGAGCUUCAUUACUAGCUUGUUUGGCAGAAACAAACUUAGCUUCCUUCAUGUGUUCGAGAUGGAAUUGGCCCUGCAGCAAAGCAAUAAGGUGAAAUAAAAUGCAAGGCUGCUAGGGAUAUGAAAGUUGAUUUUUUUGCUCGGCUAGACGACGAAACAUACGGGUGAUUGAAUCGGUGAGCUUACCGGUCGGUCGGUCAUUCAAAAAUAGCAAACAGAUAAUUUUAAGUAACAUGCUCAUGAAAUAUAAGGUAAAAUGGAAUUGUUUUCAAAUUGUCAUUACAAAGGCAAACUUAAAUCUAAUUGAUCGAUCUGUGAGCUUUGGUGGACUUCCUAUGUGGUAUACUUCAACAAAUAACUGCAAGUUACACAAUUAAGGUCCAUUUCCAGUAAGUCCUAUAGAAAAGGGUCCAUUUCCAAAUUCCAACUCAUAAAUUUUGCGUUUUUGCUGGAAAUGUUACAGAUCCGUUAUAUGCUCUGUUUUAUCCCCUCUUCGUGUAGGUUUACACCGGCGAGUUACAGACAGUCCUCAUCGAUACUUCACAUGAGUAACAUUGUAACAAGGACAGGGCAAUGCUGAAGACCAUCAGCCAGCCAGUCCUGCACCCAUCACAUCCCAGUUCCAGCUGUGGUUUGAUCAGCGAGAGCAUCUAGCAGCACAACCCACAUAGAGAGACAGGAAGAGAGGAGAUCAAUCAAUGCAUUACCACCCGAGCUGAUCAUCUCUCUCCUCCGGCCACUCCCCCACCGUCCCGUUCCUCUCACAAGAAUCACUCCUGCUCCCUCCUCAGAUCUCGCAAGCAAAACAGGCAAAGCUUUACCCGGGUAAGGUUACGGGUAGCCAUGAGGCGGCGGCCACCUUUCCAUUCCCGUGCCGCCGCCGCCGUGCUCCUGCUCCUAGUGCUGCUGACCCCCGCCCCGACCUCCCAGCUCGGCCUAGGCCCCGCCAUUGCCGCCUGGAUCAACGGCGCGCCGCCUCCGUCCCCUAGCCCUGCCGCCGCCGGGGCCUCCUCCUCGUCCGCGCCGAGCCAGGAGUACACGGCGCUGCAGGCGCUGAAGGCUGCCGUCACCGAGGACCCCCGCGGCGCGCUUUCGUCGUGGCAGGGCGCCAAUGUGUGCGCCUACCGCGGCGUCUACUGCUCCGCGCCGCCCGACGGCGCCGCGGCCGCGGGUGCGCCCACGGUGGUGGCCGGGAUCGACCUCAACCGCGCGAACCUCAGGGGCACACUCCCCGAGGCGGUCUCCCUCCUCGCCCACCUCACGUUCCUCCACCUCAACAGCAACCGCCUCGGCGGCGCCGUCCCGGACUCGCUCCGCGACCUGGAGUACCUGACGGAGCUGGACCUCAGCAACAACCUCUUCUCCGGCCCGUUCCCGUCGUCAACGCUGCUGAUCCCGUCGCUGGUCUACCUCGACCUCCGCUUCAACGGCUUCUCCGGGGAGCUCCCGCCCGAGGUCUUCGCCAAGGACCUCGACGCCUUGUUCCUCAACGACAACCAGUUCGAGGGCCAGAUCCCGGACACGCUGUGGUCGUCUCCCGCCACCGUCAUCACGCUCGCCAAUAACCACCUGACCGGCCCCGUCCCUGCCUCCUACGGGUACGCCGGCGGCCGGGUCCGGGAGGUGCUGUUCCUGAACAACAACCUGACGGGGUGCGUGCCGGAGGCGCUGGGGUUCCUCCCCAGCAUCCAGGUGCUGGACCUGAGCUACAACGCGCUGUCGGGGCACCUCCCGGGGACGCUGUCGUGCCUAUCGGGGAUCGAGGUGCUCAACGUGGCGCACAACCAGCUGACGGGGGAGCUGCCGGACCUGCUGUGCGGCCUGCGGCGGAUCACCAACCUGUCGGUGGCGUUCAACUUCUUCUCCGGGAUCGGGCAGCGGUGCGACCGGCAGCUGGGGAGCCGCGGGGUGUUCGACUUCGUGGGGAACUGCGUGCCCGGGCGGGACAUGCAGCGGCCGCAGCCCGAGUGCGACGGGUUCCCCGGGGAGGGAGGGCUCAGCUGCCUCCGUAUCCCCGGGGCGCGCCCCGCCGGGUGCGGCGACGCGGCCGUGUCCGUGGGCGUCGGAGUCGGCGUCGGGGUCGGCGGUGUGCCGUUUGGGCUGCCGGGCGCCGCCGCCGGGGCCGGGGGCGUGGUCACCGUCACCGUGCCCUGAUCGAUCAGUCUGCAGGCCGCUGGCUUUGCUUCUUUUUUUCUUUUUCUUCUUCUCUGAUUUCUUCUGAAAUUUUUGGAGGCAAAGGCAAUUAGCCUCGAUCGGCUUGGCGUGUCGCAUCGAUCAUUAAUUACAUGGCGAUGGUAACGGGUGAAUAUUGGUUGGUUCUUGGCUGGUUAAUACUAGUAUAAUCUCGCCAUUUCUGUAUGCACGAUCAGUUAACAGUGCAGCGUUCCAUGUUCUUGCUUUGUCAUCAUCCAUGGCUAGAACACUGGCAGUGGCCGGCCAGCUGGAGUGCAAUGCAAUGCAAGUGAAUGCAGCUGACUACUAGCUGUUGGUUGACAAACGACUGUUGAGGACAUGAUGAUGAUGUGAGGCCGUGGUCUUUUGUCGCUUGCUUUAGAGCUGGAUGAUGGGGAAGGAGAGGAGGAUGAGGCGGCGACCUGCGAGAAAGGAGAGGAUAGAAGAGAAGGGAGCUAGGGGAAGGGAAGAAGUGGAUCUCGGGAGAUGUGUUAAUGGCGCCAUGAAUGCGCGGGGGGCAGGGAGGUUGGUGGAUGGAUGCAGCUAACUGCCACUCUCCAACAGCGCUGGCACUGCACAGCGAGGAAGGAGAGCGGGCAGCGGCAGCCGGCAGCGCAUGGCCCCGGCCGGCGGCCGUGCAGGCCCCCGGGGUCUCCUCCCCUCGCUCGCUCGCCAUGUGAUGUGUUGCUAUCUAUCCUGUACACCUGUACUACCGUCUCUCUUGUGCUAGACUCCGCUGCCAUGACUCGGACCUCUAGCCGCCCUCUCUCGCCGUGCUCCGAUCUCUGGAUCGGACCAAACUUUUUCCCUCCAAGUUCAUGAUCAACGGCACAGUAAAAACUGCUUCCAAUUAUAUGGAAAAAUAGAAUUAGCACGAAGGGUUUCUGCAUUCCACAAGCAACGGCUUGGUCGGCCGUACGGCCACCACAAGACAUGGCAAUACCUGCUGCUCCAUAACCUCAUGAAUCACACAUUCACGCAAUCUAGUAGCGCGCAUACAGGUGCUCCCGAAUUAUUCCAUCAUGUGGAAGUAGAAGUAAACGGCCAUUCUCAUUUGUAGUUGCGCAAGCAUACUACAACGGCGAUCAGCCAUGGAGGCAGGCCGGAUCUCACUAUUCAGCCGACGUAGUACAUGGGGUCGGGCACCUUGAAGGUGCGGUCGCCCUCCGGCGCGCCGACGAGGUCGCUCCACUGGUCGCCGAUGUUUCCAACGAUGCGGUACCCGGCGUCGACCAGCUUCUGACGCUCGCCGGACUUGUACGGCACCACCGACGAACCCAGCGACGACGGCCUGCAAAAGCAUGCAGUUCCACCGAGAAGAAAGUUAGUUGUGUGAGUUGCGCAAUCUGGCCCAUAGAUUGGGCCCAAUUUUGAGGUAUAAACUAGUAGCCCAGUUAUGGCCCAAGCAACCGUCUGAGCAACUACUGUAGUUCCUUCAAGUGCAUCAUAACGGUGAUUGCAAGUUUUUAAGUGCAUGGACAGAAGACCAAAAAAAAAAGAAGAAGAAGCUCACGAGAUGCGCGAGUGCCAGGGAUUCCUGUAAAAUUCCUUUCGAAGACCUCUCUUCCAAACGGGGCCUAAACAUUUUCAAGACAGGAUUUGAAAUGUUUUUCAUAAAAAUUCGUGCAGGAGCCAGGAGAGAAAUGGAUAAACAGAGAAGCAAAGGCAGAGGGAGCGUACGCACUUGAGCACGAGCUUCUCCCAGGUGUGGUAGCCGGCGCUGCGGAGGUUCUUGACAGUGGGCUCCCUCUCGUACUCGUGCCUGCCGGUGAUGAAGGCCACCUUGAUGCCCAGCGCCAGCAGCUUCUCGUAGAGCUCCAGCACCUCCGGCAGCGCCGGCGCCGUCGCCUUCGCCACAUACUCCUCGAAGUAGGUCGCGUUGUACGGCUGAGCCCUGCACGCACGCACGCAGAAAGCUCUCGCAUCGGUCGUCAUGUACGUCCUGUUCACUGCAAGUCUGCAACCAAAAUGUUGUCUGCGUGCACGCACGGUGCACGGACGGGGACGUACCCGAACCCCGUGUCGGCGUAGUAGGGGAGGUUGCUGAGGGCGGUGUCGUCGAUGUCGAACACCCACACCGCCUCCCCGUCGCCGGCGAGCUCCAGCCCCUCGGCGUAUGCGGCGGCCUCGCGCACCACCACCGCGCAGUCCUGCCGGAACAGGUCGCCGAACAUGUAGUCGCGGACGUAGCCCCGGCACUCGGCGGGGAUGCUGUACCAGCCCCGGAUGUUGUUCGUCUCCACCCCGAGGCGCCAGCUCGGGCACGACGCCACCGCUGGCGCCCCGCUGCUGGUGAUGCCCGCGCCGGCGCCCGACGCCGCGGAGGUCGUCAUCAUCUCCAGGCCCAUGUCGCGCGCGCGUGUCGCGUGAACCAUCAGCAGCAGCACGAGCAGCGACGGGAGCCGGAGCGCCAUGGCGACUGCCGCUUCGAGCUGGAAGCUUGAUAAUACGAUUCAGAUAUUCAGGACGUUUGGGCCGCCAGAACAUGGUAUUGGAAUGAUCAGCAACUGUGCACUGAUUUAGGAUUUAUCAGAUUGGUCCGAAAUGGGACCGCCCGUUCCUUAUCUCGUGGCCUGGACACAUGCAUGUCGCUCUGCAUACGUUGUUGUGCAGUGUUUAUUGUUAUGACGUGAAACUUCCGAAUAUCCGAGGAUGAAACUUUUUCGUAGUCGAUUGCAAUUGCAACCACACACAUUUUUUUGGAUCUAUGUGAAAUUGUGCGGCAUGCCGCUUUCGACCCGAGAGCACGUGGCGAUAGUAGAAUUGGGCCUGAUAGUGACCACGCUAGCUAGGCCUAGUUCACUACUAUAUUGCACAAACACGAUACGAGUUUGCACCCUAUCAAAAACUAUAUAUGAACCUUGUCGAAUAUAAAAUAUGAGUUCUCUAUGGGUAGUAGUACGAGAAACAUGUUUUUUUGAAACAGGAGGGGCAAACGUGUUAGCAUAACAGCGGGUGGAGGUCGCUGAUCUGAUAGCACAAGCUAAUAGAGACGGGUGGAGAAAGAUGUGACAGGAGCAUCACGAGUUGGAGGAGGGUCAUUAGACUGGAGCCGUAAUGAAGAGUGUCAAGGAGGAUGCCUCUGUUGCUGAUGUUCUAAGCAAACCCCGACAGUCCGAAAUGGAACCUGAAGGCUCAGAACGUGAGGAUUCCAUUACCCACUUGAUUGAGGGACUCCAUGCAUGUCCGACUGUCCGAGUAUGCCCCCGGCCGGCCGGCCCACUGGCUGCCACACCUGUAAAGCUGACGUCGACUGAACAACCAUAGCGAGGGAGGCGCGGCGGGGUGCAGUCUCAGAUUUGGCUGCCUCUCCUUGGACACGGCCCAUCCAAUGCACUAGUGCGAGUAUACCAUUCAGAAUCCAACCGUAGUAUAAUUGCUGUGUCGAUUCUGUCAUGGAUCUCUGUAUUUGGACGGUGCUUGCGACUUGCGAUCGCUCUCCGUAAUCACUCAUCAGCUGCCCGAUCCGUCAUCACUCAAUCAAGCAAAGGUGUGGUACGUAGCCUCCCCUGCUACCACUGCUUCCCCCGCUACAGAUACCAAUCAGCUAGCGCCACCCCUUUUCCUUCGCCGCUAGCCUCUUUCACCACCUCUUUGUCCAUGGUCUCCAGCAGUAGCAACUAGCAAGACACCGUCGUUGACCGAACUAGCCCGUACGAGCUAAUUAUUUUAAAAAUUAUUGUAUUAUAAAGUUAUUUAAAAAUUAGAUUCCUAACUAAUAAUCAAAAUUAUUUAUCUAUGACUCUCAUUUAUUUUAUAUUCUAACACAAUACUCCAGUUAUGAUUGGCUUUUAAUGUAAUUACUCUACACACGUUUUUAUCUAUGUUCGUACUUUUUCACUUUAUAAUGCACCUCCAUAUAUUGUGUUUAAUAUGAAAGUCAGUAUUUUUUUAUCACUUCCUCCUAUAUAUGUAUAAAUGGUCUACACAGUUACACACAUCUUUUAUAUAUACCUUAACUUAGUAUUUCUAUAUUAACAAAGGCAGAAAUAGAUAAUUUAUGAUCAUAUAUUUGUUUUACUUUUGGACAUUUCUGUAUAAUGAACAUGCAAAUGAUUGGAUUAAGAUUCAGGUGUUUAAUUUAGGUUAUUUUUUAAUAACAACAUACGUUGGUAAUUUAGAUACAAAUUUAGAAAAGCAUUUUAAAUUAAUUUUUAUAGUAACAUAUACAGAAAAUCUAGAAGAAGAUUAUGGGGUUACUUUAAAUUAUGUUUUAUAAUGCAAAGGUGGGUAAUUUAGAUAUUAGUUCAGGGGUUUACUUUAAAAUAUUUUUAUAAUGAUAGUGGUGAGUAAUAUUUUUAGAAAAUAUAAUAGACUAAUGGCUAUGGUUAUUAUAAUCUACAUGAUUGAUGCUUAGAUGUUUUUUAUUUUUAUGAGAAUUUCUAGUAUUUAUCUUUUUUCUUACUGCGUCUCAUGAAAAUUAAUGUGGAGUCUCUAAUUGAAAAAAUAAGGGCACAUAGCUAACAAUUAAAAUUGUUAUGCUUUGACCUCUCUUUCAUUUGUUAAAUAUGUUAACACAAUACUUAUAUAGAUAUACAAUUAUUAUCUUCAACCAAUUGUGAUAAACUUUAGUUAGUAAUUACUCUAUAGAGUUUCCAUCCACAUUUAUAAUCUUACCUUUUUUCACUUUACAUUGUAGGUAUGCGCUUGAAUUUGUUAAUGGACCAUAACUUUGAACUAUAUUUUAACUUGAAAAUCUAUAUUAGCAUCACUUCCUCUAUAUAUUAUAAAUGAUGACAUGUUAAAUGUAUAUACCUUAAUUAUUAUUCUAUACCAAAAGUGUAAGAAAUAGACAAUUUAAAAUCAUAUAUUGUUGUACCUCUUGAUAUAUUUUUUGUGAAGGUGAUUUGAAUUCAAAUUUUUUAAUAAUGAUAUAUGUGGGUAAUUUUAACGAAAAUUUAAGGGGUUAAUUAAGUUAUUUUUUAUAAUGUUAGUGGUGGGUAAUUUAGUUGUAAAUUUAGGGGUUAUUUUAAAUUAUUUUUUAUAAUGGUGGAAGUGGGUAAUUGUGAUGAAGAUUAGGGGUUACUUGAGUACAUUUAUUGAAGCGUCCCCACAUAAGUAGAGACUAAAUGUGAUACAAAUAUCAGCCCCAGGAGGCUGAUAGCAUAUUUAUUCAACUGAUGGUUCAUGAACCGUACAACUCCCGAGGGAGCGGGCGCGAAAGCCACGCCGAAAAUAAGUAAAACGACAACGGUAACGAUCCAAGCUACUAUCCAGAUGAACCAUAGACAGCACUCGGCACUAUGCGCCAGCGGAAGCAUCCUGCAAAGGGCCAAUGCCACAGGCAAUAUUGGGUGCGGAAACGACAACCUACUCGAUGUCCUAGGCAACGAAGUCCGGGUCUUUUUUUUAAGCAACAACACAAGGAUGAGUACAAAACUACUCAACAAGUCCAACCACACCCACAAAGGGGGAAUAGCAAGAAUAUGCACAAGUCAUAACAAGGAUAAGGCUAAGGUUCCUUUGCAAUAAAGCUAGAUUUUUAACACAUGCAAGGGUUUACUUUCAAAAAGGAUUUUCACAAAGCAUUUGUUUAGCAACAGAAUUAUUGAGUGGGGUUGAUUCUACACAAAGGAUCCAAAUUUUAAUGCUACCAGACUCCCCGUCUGUGGUAGCUCACAGCACAUCUGCCGGACACUUCCAAAAUCCAACACACGCCAUGAAAAUCAUCCAUCUCCCAAAAGCUAGUUAUGUGCCCAAACUGUAACUCGUCCAAUACCAUGGACAUGGCUAUUCGAAUAGGUUUUACCUCUACAGAGGUGUACACUUUACCUACAAGUAUGGUACCAUAGCACGAUCAUCUUAGUGUCAGUGCGGAUCCUAUCAAAGCCAUUACCCACCUUAGCUAAGACCUGACUAGCCAACACGGAAGCAACCAAGGGGUCAAUGACCUACCAACGAGGUCUUAACCGGGACCAAAGCGACACGUGCUUACUCCUUCUCCAUGGUCUCCUGUUGCUCACCAGCUCUCCUGAUGGCUAACAGACUAGCUAGUGGGAUUUAUGCUAAGCCUUCGCCACAUACAAAGGUCAAAUGGUUGCACGAUAAAUUGGGUUAGGUAAGAUGACACAUCAACUCGGUCCUUAAUCAAGACAGGAUGGAUAUCUCCCAACCUACUCAUCCACUAAGGUACAAGCCCAACUUGGUAUUUCACACAAGAAACACCCAUCCGUCUCAUCUAAACAUCUUUCCUUAUUUUCCACCAAAACCCCAUUUAUUUCCAAAACACUCACGCAUUUAUCUUCGGCAAAACAUUGUAUUCAUGAUUGAGUUGUAUCAAAGAAAGUAACCAAUUCCUAAGCAUUCUAGCAGCAAUUAUCUUCUAAAUAGAGCAUUUCAUAUUUAGAGAUAAUUCUAGGUCACCAAGAAAUAAUCGUAGCAAUCAAGGGGUGGCUAUCCAACCGGGUCUUUAAGCAGUAAAACAAUAUGCAAUUUAUAAAAACGGCCAAUAGGUUGUGUCUGUAAAACUGGGAUAAAUAUGCAUCAAAGGGUGGGAUUGGACUUGCCGUCCUCAAAGCCUUCUGGGAGUUCCUGCUCGCGGUACGGGUCCUCGGGCUCCGGCUCGCGAUACUGGCCUUCAAGCUCCUCUGUGGGCUCCUUCUCCUCGGUCACUCCACGAUCUACGACACACACGAGCGAGCACACAAUAAAUAAAAAAAUAAGGUUUUACCUAUUGAGCUCAGAGAGAGAGAGAGAGAGAGUGAACCGAAAAUAGAGGAAGGAAGAGUGUUUUCAGGGAAUUGGUAGAUGACUUAGUGGGAAUAUAUUUGGGAAUGAUGUGGUCGAAUUUGGGGUUCAUGGGAGGAAAUUUGGGGCAGAAAAUGUCAGCAAGAAGGUGCUUAGGGGCUGCUUUUAAAAGGUCUAGGGACCUUUCUGUAAAAGAAUUUGGGAGAGGGAGUGGUCUUGGGGAAAAUGGGAAAAGAAGGGGGGAAGGGUCACGGUAUGAAAAAGGGGAAAAGGGAGGGGUUUAAAGGCAAAACCGCCUUCUUCUCGAAUAGAAAUAGGGGAGGGAGGCUGGGCUUGGGUGGCCGGUCAGCCAGCGGCGGCGCCGGCGACCCAAGGCGCGGCGGCGACCGGGAAGUAGGGGAAAAGAGGGAGGAGAUCGAGAGGGUCCGAUUCCUCUUCUCACCUCGGCUGGGGCGGCUCCAUGGCGGCAGGUGGAAUGCGUCGGUGGCGGUUAUGGGCGGCGACGCUGGGGACCUCGGGAGGGAAGGAAGAUGUUCGAGGUGCUCAUGGUGGAGUUGGGAGUGGAGCGGAGGCCCUUUUAGAGGCCGGAGGAGAGGGGGAGGGGGCGGCAAUGGGCGGUGCACAGGAGGCUGCAGUAAUGGCGGCUGGCGGGUGGUGCAGCACGUGCGGGGUGCCACAAGGCGGCGCUGUGCGCGGGAUGCGUGGGCACAAGGCGGUGUUGUUCUUGUGUGGUGUAGUGACUAGACGGCGGGCGACGUGGCGACUUGGUGACAGGCGACGCAUUGGCGGGCGGCAGGGGUAGUGGCAUGUGCAUGGCGUGGUGGCAGGGCGUGUGCGCGGGCGUGCAGGGGCGAGGUCGGGCGCGGACGUGCGUGUGCGCUAGGGCGGAGGGGGCGAGCAGGAGUCUGGGGCCGGGCGCGCAUGCGCGGGGGGAGGAGGGAGGGGCGCAGGCGCGCGGUGAAUGGCAUACAUCCAUGGGUCCACCAGAAGGUUUGUACGGAUCCAUACGAGGAGAAGUACAUCGAGACAUACCAGGACAUGGAGACUACGAUACAGGGUGCUGUAGUCUACAUGGACUACCAGGAGACUAGUCAUAGACAAGGAAACUACUCUUCCGAGUUAGAGUUGAACUUUGUUGUCGUAUCCGACUAGUACUCUUGUAAAACAACUACCCUGUAACCCUGCUCCCCCAGUAUAUAAUGGCGGGCAGGGGCCCCUCAAAACAAGUUCAAUCCUAUACAGGAAAACAACAUACAAGACGUAGGGUAUUAUGCGAUCUAGCAGCCCAAACCUGUCUAAAUCGCAUGCCUACGUACACCAUCGAGCUCCUAAUUUUGGUGACAUCCACCAACCAAAACUCUACCUUGGGUACUCCCUUGGUAGGUUGUUGGGUUUAAACAACGACACACGACCAGGGAGCAAGCGAGGCCGGGCUAGGCUGGGCUGGGGAGAUAGGCGUGCGUGGCCAGGAGAGAAAGGGAGAAAGGAGGGAGAGGAAGAAGGAAGAGGGAGAGAGAUAGAGAAUGGGAAGAAAAGGAAAAGGAGAAAAAGGAGAUGAGGUAAAAAGGGAAAGGGUUGGAGUAAAAAUAAAAGAUAGAAGUAAAUGGUGUGAAGAGUUAAAGAGAUAGAGAGGGAGACGACGGGGAUUUCGGAAGCGGUCGCGGGCACGAGCGGCGGUCUUCCGACCGGCACACGGUGUGGCUUGCAGAGAAGAAAAGGGAGAAAAUGGAUGGUGGUCGGCUUUGGUGCCGGGACGACGGAAUCGUCGUCCUGACGGGAUUUGGGAGCUCAAGCGGUGAAAAGAUUUUGAAAAUAAUUUUUAGCGAGUGAUUUAAUUUGGUGAAUUUUAGAGAUGGUACAUUUAUAUAAUGGUAGAGGUGGGUAAUUUAAAUAUAGAUUUAGGGAGUUACUUUAAACUAUUUUUGUGAUGGCAUAGGUGGGUAAUUUUUUAGAAAACAUAAUAGAUCCAAUAGCUAUGAUGAUUGGAAUCUAUCUAUUGAUAGCCAAAUAUUUUGUUUUUUUGAAUUUCUAGAAUUUCUCUAUUUUUUGGAGUGACCACCUAGGAUUCUAGAUGACUUCACCUGGAGACUUCAAAAGGAGUUGUCGGUGUUUUAUACCCGUCAACCUACCGAUGGGUAUCCCGAGGUAACAAAUUGGUUGGUGGGGGAUCGCCGGACCUGGUACUUGAUGGGAAAAACGAGGAUACAAGACACCGAUUUAUAGAGGUUCCGACCGCCAAUGUAACGUAAUACCCUACGUCUUGUUUGGGGUGCUGUAUAUUGCGCUCUGCGCUUGGGUGUUAUUGGUUUAGGUUCUACCCUAAGGUAAUUCUGCUGAUGUAGGUAUCCAUGCCUCCUUUAUAUACUUUAAGGGAUGGGACUACUAGUCGGUUAUAAGAGGAGUUUUAGUAGAAUUAUAAAGGUACGAGUUCUAGUUGAAUUAGAAGAGAAUUAGUUUGUUUUUUUCCUUGGGAUCUAUCCCGACAUGUGCUGUGCACGGAAACAAUGGCCAGCGUGAUGCACGGCCACCAUUGCUCCGGAGAUCCUUCGGUACCACGCAAGUUAAGCCUGUCGCUGCGACGCUGUGACGCAUGCCCUACCAUGUCUGUACGUGACUUGACCAAAUAAGGGUAAGAUACAUGUGGCGAGGGCAGUGGCCAAGUGCAUCGAUCGCCGUCGCCCUCCGUCGACCUCGGGACCCUCGUGUCGUGUGUCGUUCAGAUUAGUAGAUCUCUAGCUCUAGCUGGUGAAAAGAUGCCACUUUUGCGGACACUCAUGCCUCACCCUCUCUGCAAGCCGGCAAACAAAUCCAAAAUCCGAGGAGGAAAAAAAAAACAACACCAAAGCCUCGCCCUGUCACCCACCUGCCCCAUUUCCACUCGAUCCGGCCGCUCGCCCCUUCGCCUGCUGCCGUGAUGUUCGGUUUCAUGGAUUAAAAUUUAAUACCUAUCAUAUCGAAUGUUUAUAUGCUAAUUAGGAGGAUUAAAUAUGAGCUAAUUAUAAAACUAAUUGUACAAAUGGAGACUAAUUCUCGAGAUGAAUCUAUUAAGCUUAAUUAGUCCAUGAUUAGAUAAUAUGAUGCUACAAUAAAUAUGUGCUAAUUAUGAAUUAAUUAGGCUUAAUAGAUUCCUCUCGCGAAUUAGCCUUCAUCUGUACAAUUGGUUUUGUAAUUAGUCUAUAUUUAAUACUUCUAAUUUAUAUCUAAAUAUUUAAUGUGACAGGAACUAAACUUUAGUCGGUGGAACCAUACACCCCUAAAGUCUUGUUGUACAGGAAGGAGGAUGCAUGCCGGGCUUUAGUGCGUGGCAAUGGCGGUGCGUGGUGGCGGGCCGGCGACGGAGGACGGAGGACUCUACCUACCCGUGCACCUCGUUGUUAGCUUGCUGCUGGAACGUAGUAAUCCUCCGCGCGCGCCCCAAUCAUCCGUCCACCCAAAUCCUUGUCAUCUGCAGUGCUCGGAAUGGAAAACACGAGCGACUUAUACGCUGCACCUGCACAACCGCGCCACGCCCUUACAUUCUAUUUAACGGUUCGCAUAGCACCCACAGAUUAAGGCCUCGUUUGUUUUAGCUGGAUUGGGUUCCGGUCAGGAUUACUACCAAACCUGGUUUUAUUAUUUAAUCCGGCUAAGAUUUAAUUCUGCUAAUCCAGUCGAAACUCAAAACGAUCAGGUUCUUAAUAAGCGCGAGAGGUGAAGAAGACUAGCUAGAGCUCUAACCACCGGCGGCGAUGGCAUCAGUGGCCAAGCUUCUCGCCGCCUUCCUCGCUGUCCUCGCGGCCGGCGGCGCGCGUGCGUGGGAGCUGAACUUCGAGAUGCCAUCGUCCGAGGUGAUCGACGACGGCAUGCCGCUGAUCCACAUGCUGCGGCCGCUGCUGAGCUCCGGCGGCCACCUGGGCCGGCGCGGCCGCGUGCCGUGCGACAGCUGGCGGUUCGCCGUCGAGACCAACAACAAGCGCGGCUGGAAGACCAUCCCGGCCCGCUGCGAGAGGUACGUCGGCAACUACAUGAUGGGCGGGCACUACCGGAGCGACUCCCGCGCCGUCGUCAACGAGGCCAUCGCCUACGCCGAGGGCCUCGAGCUCUCCGGCAAGGGCAACGAGGUGUGGGUGUUCGACAUCGACGAGACCGCGCUCUCCAACCUCCCCUACUACGCCAAGCACGGCUUCGGGUACGUACGGUACCUUUUUCGAUUUUGAAGCCUUACACGUACGUACGCUCGCUUUCUCUGCCCACGUAGCAGUGUACUCUCGAUCGCAGGGCUGAGCCGUACAACUGGACGGCGUUCGGCGCGUACGCCAAGCAGGCGAACGCGCCGGCGCUACCGGAGACGCUGCGGCUGUACAAGAGGCUGCAGGCGCUGGGCAUCAAGCCGGUGAUCCUCACGGGGCGGCGCGAGGACAAGAGGGAGGCCACGGUCAGGAACCUCGCCAGCGCCGGCUACACCGGCUACCUCAAGCUCCUGCUCAAGUACAGUAUUUGCCUGUGUACAGUACAUUUCAUAGCCGUAGGUGUGCGUGACAACGAUCGAUGCGCGUGUGCGUGCGUGCAGGCCACAGAACGUGAGGAUGCAUUCGUUGGAGUUCAAGUCCGGCGAGCGGAAGAAGCUGGUGGACGCCGGCUACGUCAUCGUCGGCAACAUCGGCGACCAGUGGAGUGACCUACUGGGCGCGCCGGAGGGGGAUCGCACAUUCAAGCUGCCGGAUCCCAUGUACUACAUCGCCUAGGUCUCUACACGCUCUUCUCUACUCAUGGACGAUUACAAACAGCUGCAAAUAAGCGCCUGAACGAAUAACGUGCAAUCAUCAGUACGUCGUACGUGUGUGCCAAAAUAAAAUGACCUAUGUACAUUGAUGAGUUGUAUGUAUGUAUGUAUGUAUGUAUGUAUGUAUGUAUGUAUGUAUGUAUGUAUGUAUGUAUGUAUGUAUGUAUGUAUGUAUGUAUGUAUGUAUGUAUGUAUGUAUGUAUGUAUGUAUGUAUGUAUGUAUGUAUGUAUGUAUGUAUGUAUGUAUGUGUGUUCCAGGAUUCAGGACAUAACAGUGCGUUUGUAGUCGUGAAUAUAAUGAACCAAUGGCGUAAUAAUAAUUAGUAUGUGCUCUUCAUUUUUAGGGUGUUUCUUUCCAUGUUCCAUCAUUUUUGUUGGCUGAUUUUAUUUUUACUUACUGAGUUGCUCUUAUUUGGACCUAGUCCAUACUAACUUGUAGUUAAAUCGAACUUUUCCGGAUCUUUUUUUAUCCAACUGUAAGGGAUUACACAAGUUUUUUUUUUACCGGUAGAGUACACAUGCAUGUUAACAUUUCGCUGUGACCCCACACAUCUGAUCAACGCCAAUGUAUGAUCGUGUUGCACGCCCUGCCAUGUCUGUACGUGACCGGGCAUGAGCAUGACCCGCACCAAUCAACCCUGUCCCUUUCUCUCACCCUCACCCUGUCUGCGUUGUCUCAUCGACACCUCUAGAUAAUUCUGUCACAAGCGUAGCAGUCCAGACCCGGCACCUAUAUAGAUGCGUGCUGAAGCUUGAAAUGCCCACCGAUGACAAGGAAUGCCAUUUGUAGGUUUCUUUCUUUGCGCGCAUUCUAAAAUAGUAAUAUUUUAGGGGAACAAGCCAGUCCUCUGGAGUGGCUUUGGAUAAUGUUUAUAAGUGGGACUUUCCGAGUGGUAAAGAUAGUUUUUGUGUGCUUCAAUAGUAUUUUUGUGGACCGGAAGAGAGAGAUUCCAUUGACUUUGCUAGUUGCCAUUUUCGAAUAUUUCAUUCAUACGAUACAAUAUGGUUUAAAUAAAGUCGAUCCUUGCUGAGCUCCCUUGCCUAACACUUAUUUAUCCACAUUUAGCAAUUUUUUUAGUUAGUAUACAAAAUGCUGGUAGUGCAUGUAAGCUAAUAAAAUGGCCUAUAUAUGUAUACAUGAAGUUGGAUUAUUGUACGCUCGUUGGUCCUAGUAUAUUUCAGAUCAAUGGCGUAAUAAUAAUGGAUAAUAAUCCACAUCAAGAACAUUUCAGAUCGAUGACGUGCAAGUCGCAUAGAGCAAAAGCGAUUCAUCCUCGGCUGUGCUCUGCUUUGCAGCGGCAAAUAAUAAGAUGCAGAGAGAGAGAGAGAGAGAGAGUCAGAUUUUGCUAAUCAGUGGUUAAUUUUUAGAUUUGCCUACUUUCAACCCCUCUUUCAGUGCGACACGCACUCCUCGUUCCCUAUGUCGUCCCACCCGGUGAGGCUGCAGGUGGGGCCCCAACCUUAUCCACCUCGAACGAACCAUCGCUCACACUCUCACUCGCCGUUCACCAGCUCAGGCUGAGCUUGCCCAUCUUCCUGAGAACCACCACAGCACAACAGGAGAAAGAAAGAUGAGGAAAGAAGGCAAGAGGCGGUGCUCCCAACCCCUCGUUGUUGGCUUGAUCCCCCACUCCAUCUUAAUCCUCCAUGUAAUAUACCACGGAUAUUGAAAACAAAGUUUAAUAAUAACAUACUCCUUCCGUUCUAAAUUCUAAGUCAUUCCAACUUUCUUAAAAACUCAAACCAUCUUAAGGUUGAUGAAAUUUAUACAAUAAAUUACUAACAAUUAUGAUAUCAAUAACUACUAUUAGAUUUUUCAUUAAAUAUAUUUUCAUAGUAUAUCUAUUCAUUGCCAUAAAUCUUUGUAAUGCUCCUUAUAAUUUUGGUCAAAUAUAAAAUAUUUUGACUCUUCAAAAAAGUUGGAAUGACUUGUAGUUUGAAAUGGAGAAAGUACAAAAGAUGGAUAUAUUUCCGACCUAUGGCCUUGAGUCCAUGGGCCAGCAACGCUGGCAGGCCUAUUGGGAGUGCAAAUCCGACUCAGGCAGGCCACGCACGACCUUGUAGAACGGCGAGUGAGAGGGUAGUUACCAAAAAUUAGCGUCAUCAUCAGCCUCUUUCCCAUGGGCUCCCUGAGCCCAAGAUUGAGCUAUUCCCUCCUUAACCCCAAAUCCUUAACCACACUUUUCAGAGCCAUUAGAGGGUUGGAGAACACCAAUAUAGUGCGGAUCAAAUUAUAGAUUGGACUGUCAAUAAAAUCAAACCUUCAAGAGGGCUAAGACACACGACUGGCCACUGAAAAAAAACUUGACCGACUGUUUUGUCAACCCGUGCUCCCGCAUAGAUUAAUAUUUUUAAAAACUAUUAUAUUUGAAAAUUAUUUAGGAAUUAAACUUCUAACUAAUAAUCAAAAUUAUUUACUUACUACUCUCUCAUUUUUUUCAAUACUUCAACAUAAUACUCAUAUAUAUCUGUACUUAUCUUUGUUCAGUUGUGAUUUAUUUUUAAUUAGUACUCUAUACACUUUUCCAUUCACAUUCACACUUUUUUUCAUUUUGUAUCACACCUCCAUACAUUGUGUUUACAAUAAAAAAUAAUAUUUUCCAUCACUUCCUCACAUACAUGUAUAAAUGAUCUACAUGGUGAUCGACACUCAUCAUGUGUGUAUACCUUAACUUAGCAUUUCUAUAUUAACAAUAGCAUCAAUAGGUAAUUUAAAAUCAUAUAUUAGUUUACUUUUGGACAUUUUUGUAUGAUGCACAUGAAUGUAAUUAGAUUAAGAUUUAGAUAUUUACUUUAGGUUAUUUUAAAUAACGACACACAUGGGUAAUUGAGAUACAAAUUUAUAAUGGUAUUUUAAGUUAUGCUUUAUAAUGAUAUGUAUGAGUAAAUUAAAUGAAGAUUACAAGGUUACUUUAGAUUUUUUUUAUAAAGGCAGAGAGCUCGAUAAUUUAGACAUAGGUUUAGGAUUUAUUUUAGAAUAUUUUUAUAAUGAUAAAGUGGGUAACUUUUAGAAAAUAUAAUAGAUCAAUGACUAUGAUUAUUAGAGUUUAUAGGAUUGAUGUUUGAUGUUUUUGAUUUUUGUAAGAAUUUCUAGGAUUUGUGUUUUUUAAGAGUGUCUUGUGAGAAUUAAUGCGGAGUCUCGAAUGGAAAAAAAAAUGAGACCACAUUGCUACAAAACUAUUACCUAAAGCUACCUCUCCUUUGUUAAAUAUUCGAACACAAUACUUAUAUAGAUAUAUAUAAUUAUUAUCUUCAUCCGAUUGUGAUAGAUUUUAGUUGGUAUUACUCUAUAACAUUUCCAUCCACAUUUAUAAUCUCUAAAUUUUUACUUUGCAUCACAAAUAUGCGCUUAAAUUUGUUUAAUAGACCCUAAAUUUGAGCUACAAUUUUAACAUAGAAAUCUAUAUUCUCAUCACUUCCUUAAUUAUUAUAUCAUACCUUAAUUAUUAUAAAUGGUAACACAUACAUCAUGCGUAUAAACCUUAAUUAUCAUACACUAGUAGUGUAAGAAAUAGACGAUUUAGAAUCAUAUAUUGGUGUAUAUUUUUAAUUAAGAUGAUUUGGAUUCAAAUUUAGGGUUACUUCAAAUUAUUUUUUAGUAAUGGCAUAUGUGGGUAAUAUAGAUGCAAAUUUAAGGGGUUAUUUUAAGUUAUUUUUUAAGCAUUAUUGGUAAGAAAUUUAGUUGUAAAUUUAGGGUGUUAUUUUUAAUUAUUUUAUAAUGGCAUAAGUGGGUCAUUUUGAUAAAGAUUAGGGGGUUAUUUUAGUUCAUUUUAUAUAAUGGUAAAGGUGGGUAAUUUAGAUAUAAAUUUAGGGGGUUACUUUAGACUAUUUUCAUAAUGGCGUAGGUGGGUAAUUUUUUAGAAAACAUAAUAGAUCCAAUGACCAUGAUGAUUUGAGUCUACCAACUGAUGGCUAGAUGUUUUGGUUUUUUUUUGAGAAUUUCUAAGAUUUCUCUAUUUUGUUAAAGUGUCCACCUAAGAUUCUACGUGGCUUCACUUGGAGGCUUCAAAAGGAGCCUCCAAUUAGUAUAUAUUUUAAUAAAUUUAUACUUAAAGAAAGGUGGCGGCCUCUUGGUAUCUUAUGAGAACAUUAAAAAAUGCUCCUGUUAAAAUAAUAUAAGCAUUUAGAUGGAACAUAUAUCAUAGUAAGAGGAGACGGUAACACGUAUAUUGGACCUUGGUGAAUUUAUAUUGUUUUUUUGAACUUGCCUGGGCAAAUAUUUCACUAAGAAGAAACAAAAAAUUUGCACAAAGUUCCAUCUGACCUCUUACCUAAACAGGAAGGGAAACUUACGAAGAAAGGAAAAAGAAAAAAAACGACCUACCACUAAUGAUAGAAUAAAACUACUCAUAAGAACUAAAAACGACAACCCUAUCAUCCCACUUGCGAUCCAGCAUCCUCCUUCUGCAAUGAUAUUGUUCAGCACCAUUGUCAGCGAUGACGCCUUCCCCUUGAAAACUGUGUGGUUCCGUUCAAACCAAAAUUUCUAGAUCGUGAGCAUGAUUAAGGAGUCAAAACAUUUUCAUAUCGUUUUAUCAAUCCUCUUAGCACAACCCAGGAGUGAGCAGUGGCGGACUGAGAGGAUUAAUAGAGCCCAGGCAAAACGCAAGACAGAUCACAUCUCUGGUAGAUCACAGAGGAAGAAGAUUUCACAGCUAACCUCUUGCGAUUAUGGCACAGGAGCCCGGGCAGGCGCCCAGGGUCGCCCUGGGUCAGCCCCUGGGACUGGGAGUGAGGGCUUGGUUUCCGGAGAUGCUAAAGACCCACCUUAACAAAAGCUGGUUUACCGUUUCUAGUUCCUGUGCACACGGAGCACAAUUACCGUAGUUUGGAACGGUCCGAUGUCCAACAACGUUUGUAGACUGCCAAGCAGAAAAAGAAUUUGCAGAACAUAAACAUAUUGUCCACUUGACCAUACAAGACAAUCAAGGUUAGCGAACAUAAAUAUAUAUAUAGCUAUUGAUUAAUUGACAGCUCUCCAAUGAGUCUUAUUCCACUCAAAUAAGACUCAUUGCAGCGGUAACAAACUAUAUAAGAGUACAAAGUUCAUUACAAAACCCACACGAUGCAUCUAACGGAGAGCAGCUGUUGGAUGAUACGGAGGCCAUCGCUUAAUUAGCCAAUGUAGUAGAGCGGGUCCGGCAGCUUGAAGGUGCGCGCCCCCUCCGGCGCUCCGAGGAUGUCGCUCCACUGGUCGCCGAUGUUGCCGACGAUGACGUAGCCGGCGUCCUGGAGCUUCUGGCGCUCGCCGGACUUGAAGCCGAUGGCGGUGCCAUUGUACCCGACGGGCUUGAGCAUGAGCUUCAUCCAGCCGGAGUAGCCCUCGCGGCGGAGGUUGGCGGCGGUGAUGGCCCUCUGGUCCUCGGUGCGGCCGGUCACGAACACCGGCUUGAUGCCGAGCGAGAUGAGCUUAUUGUACAGCCGCUGCGUCUCCGGCAGCACCGGCGCGCUCCCCUCCAUGACGUACUCGUUGAAGCUCGUCGCGUUGUACGGCUUCGUGCUGGGUUAGCAUGGAAAAAGAAGACAAUUCGUGGCAAGGUUAAAUUAACAUCCUAUUUGAGGCAUAAUCAGCAAAUUGAUCAUUACUUGGGUAUUCUACAAAUCACACGCUGGUUUACACAUGUACUCUACUCUUUUUUUUUUUACGAACUAGGCUAGCAAGAGAGCUACCGAUUAUAUUAAAAAAAAGAUGAAGUCCAGCAAAUAAAAAAACAACAACACAAAUACUAGCAGGGUUGUAUUGGAUCAUUAACACAUACCGCACCACACCAUCGCACUCAACUCAACAACACAUCGGCCGGUUGGAUUGGGACAUCAACACGUACCGAGCUCAACUCAUCUUAAACAUACUCUGCCCUGUCGGAUUGGGACAUCGACAUGAGCCACAUAACUGCCUUCACUUUGGGUAGCCCCUUAACACUCGUUGUCAUGGUAACGGCCCUACCACCACCAUCGGUCCACCAACACCCCCCAAACGAGCAGCGUCGACCACCCAACGAAGCCAAGAACCUACAAGGUCACCACUUGCACCGUCAUAACUGACGAUGUUUCACACCGAGCCAACUGCUGCCAUGCAGGAUUGGUCGCCACAAACCACUGCGAAGUCAUGUAGCCAUCGCACCAUUGUAGCCGCUUGCGCCGUCUCUCGACAUUGUUCUGCACCGGGCUAACCUUGCCAAGAAAUAUUAGCGGCCGCAGCCCGCUGCAAACCGCAAAACUGAUUCACGAGUAGCCACCUUUGACUGCCACCAGGCCACCCACACCACCGCCAACCAACCAAAGCCCACUCCAAAAAAGCAGACACUAGCCGCCACCACCGAGAGAUCCUCCGAAGCGAUGUCUCCAACGAAAGAAACGACGUCCUUAGGCGUCGUCAUUGCUGCUCCGACGGGAGCACAACUUUCACCAUGAGGACAUCCCAUCGAGGGAGAGAGUAGGCAUCAUGCCGACGCCUCCAAGGAGGAGUAUGGCGCCCAAAGAUGUCACCGCCGCAAGACUUUUGCCCGCUGCCACACUAACUCAAGCCAGCAAUGAAGCAACCUGGAGAAGAGAGGGGGCCCAUCGCAAUCAAUCACACCCCCAUGGCAUCGCUGGUAGCAGCAGUGCAGGACACUGGCGGCCACACCACCACGGCGCAACCGAGAGCUUUGUAGGCAUAUUCUCUCCACACCUUCGCUCCUCUGCAGCACAGCAGCCGCCCGUCGCUUGAAUCAAACCGCAAGGCCACCACCUCCUCCCUCCACAUCGGGCCGCCGCCAUGAGCAGCUCCUCACCCCACGCGACCUUGCUGCCCCACGGGGUCGCCUCCAUAGCCGCCCUUGCCUUGUGCCUACCGUCGCCAAUGCAUGGCUUCCUCGCGCCGCGUGGGCCGGCACCUCGCGACCUCAUCUCCCCACCCCGCGCUGGCCGCCGUGACACGCGGCCUCAUCUCCCUCGCGCCGUAAGGCCUCCUCCACGCCGCAGACCAGUCCACCAUCCGGCCACCGUUGCCCACACGCCGCGCCUCCGCAUGCCUCCUCCACUGCGCCCGCACGCCGCCGCGCCCCAGAUCCAGCGCGCGGCCCAUCUUCCGCCACCACCGCCUACUCCUGUGGCCUUCUCGCCCACGCGCAUCGCCGCCACGUCUACGCCACCGCGCUGUCGUCGCGGCUGAGAUUCGGCCGGGUCUCACCCCGAGCCGCCAAAGCAGCCCCGCCGCGACCAUCCUAGCCCUCAUGCGGGCUUCUGGUGCCGGGCUCCAGCGGCAGCGAGAUGGGAGCUGGGGAUUGGGGUGGUGGCGGCUAGAGUUUGGGAGGUGCCGCCGGGGUGAGAGCAACGCGGGGCCGAAAGGAGUUGCGAUUAUGGACAAUUAGCGUUCCUCAGUACGUACUCUACUUUCCGUACGUACUCUACUUUCAUGACAAACUGGUGUGUGUGUGUCAUUUGCAAAAAUGGAGUGUGUCCAGUUUCUCCGUACGUGUGUCCAGUUCUAAAACAACUCUAUUACAAAAAUGGAGCACACACGCACGUGAACAGUAGGCGAUCUUUUGGAUAUGACAUUUGCGAAAACGAUAAAAUUUUGCAGCCACCAAGAAUUGGCCAAAGGCCAAAGCGGACCACGCUGGUCCUACUAGAUAUGGCCUGCAUAAUCUCUUCGACGACGUCGCCAUACGGCAAUAGUUUUGCUCGGACACAUAAAAGAGUCCAACAGGAUCUGUGUGACUGUGUCCCUUUCCUAUCUUGAGAUAUAGAGAAAGAGAAGGACGAAGAGAGAAUAAAGGAGAGCUGUACACAUUUUUAAAUCCUUCUUAAUCCUAUCUCUUGAGAUAUAGAGAAAAAUAUUAUGGCAUCAGCUAGAGCUUACCAGUGUUUUAAAUAGCGGGAUAUAUAGCGGCUCCCAAGAGCUGCUGGCCUGCUGCUAUAACCGCUACAACAAAAGUAUCAUGCUAUAGCGGGAUAUCGUGCCGCUUUUAGUGGCUGAAACCCUAUAAUAUGCUAUUUAGAACACUGAGUUUUUAGUGGCUCAAAUCCUAUAAUUCGAGAUUCAGUACAUGUGCCAGAGCAUACACGUACCAGACAAAACAUACACAUACUCCUACUCCGUACGUGCGUUGAAUCGCGAAACAACGUUACGUACCCGAAGCCAUCCGUGGCGUAGUAGGGGAGGUUGGAGAGCGUGGUCUCGUCGGUGUCGAACACCCACACCUCCUUGCCCUUGCCGCCGAGCUUGAGCCCCUCGGCGUACGCGACGGCCUCGUCGACGACGACGCCGGAGUCCUGGCGGUAGUGCCCGCCGAGCAUGUAGUGGCCGACGUAGCCCUCGCAGUCGACCGGCACCGUCCGCCAGUCGCGCUUGUUGUACGCCUCCACGGCCAGCCGCCAGCUGUCGCACGGCACGCCGCCGCGCCGGCCGAGGUCCCCGGCGGAGCCCACCAUCGGGCGCAGCGCGUGGAUCACCGGCGCCGCCACGUCUGCCUCCUUCUGGCGCUCAUCCGCGGCCGCCUGGACGGCCGCCCAUGCGCUGCAGGAGCUGCCGGCCACGAGGGCCACGAGGAGGACGAGCCUGGCCGUCGCCGUCGCCAUGGCCACUCUGCUAGUGCUAGCCGAGACUAUGGACAGUGUGCUGUUUUGCUUGAAACGAGCACCUGCCCGUCGAUGCGUGUGAGGUUUAAUAGAAGGUGCUUGCCUGCGCAAUGGAUCUAGCGAGGCUCACAUUGUCACCUGGUCAUCAGCACGUACGUGAAUCGCAUUGGUUGCUUUCUAAAUUUUUGUUGUUUUCUAAACUUUCUCACGGUAACUUUAUAAUUCCUUAAUAUGUCCAUAGAAAAAAAAUGUUACGAGUUGUAUGACAACAAAAAUUUGAAAAAUAGUUGUGGAGUUGUCACGUAGUUCGAACGGACAAUUGUUUCGCAAUCCAGCACCGACGUGGCGACGUCCUGACCUUACGAUGAUAACGAUCGCUUGUGUCCUUCACAUUGGGCUCUGCUUGAUGGCCGUGUAAGCUUCUUGCCCAAAAAAAAAAAGAUCGUGUAAGCUUCUUGGAGGACAAAAAAAAGUACUUCUGUUGUGGUUGGACGCCAUGAAUAUUGCGCACGUGUCAAACUAUAUUCUAGAGGUAAACUUCAUGAACCAUUCGCAAGAGGUACUUUUGUUGUGGUUGGACGCCAUGAAACACAAAAGGUGCUGGUGCAAUUGCCAUCUGCUGACAUAGUUUUCUUUUUUAUUAGCAUUAUAGUUUUCUUAUGCUUUGUCAAACUUUUGGUUCAAUUUUGUUCAUAUUUGGAUCAAAAUACGAAUUCUUUGACCGGUCAACACAACUGAAUUCUGGUCUGAAUUUCAUAAAAUUCGAUAGGCUCUGAAAUUUGAGUAAAGUACGUGGUCGGUCCUUAAACUUGUCUGAUCCUUAAACUUGUCUGGCUAUGUCACUUAGGUCUCCAUACACUCAAAAUGCAUAUCUGGCUCCCGAAACUUGGGUUCAGGUAUCAUUUAGGUCCAUGUACUCUCAGUAUGCACAUCUAGCCCUCUAACCUUGGUUUCGGAUGUUAUCUAGAUCCAUAUACUCUCCAAAAGCAUUGUCAUCUCAACUAAAUUGAUAAAAACUUGUUUUUACACAUAUAUCAUUUAACUAUAGUCGAAUAAAGUGAAUUUCGACUCGGCCUGUCUAGAGAAUACUGAUGAGCUGAAUCCGGAAAGAUUGAAGAUCUUUUACUUUGGAGGCAAUAUCUUAACUUACUAGGUGCGCAUGAUUGGCGUGCUCUAUUAUUCUUGGAAGAUUAUUCAAAUUUGAAUAUGCAUUUACUAAACUAAAAUCAGGGAUUUAUAAGAUAAAUUACUGGACAAAUAUUGGGAGAAGUUGAAGGGGCAAUAAAACAAGUCAGGAAAUGUACCACUGAAAGUAUUAGCUUGCUUGAAUGCAUAAAAUUUGAUCUUAUGAUGUUUUAUUAGUGGGAUGACACUGCAUUCCAUGAGUUAAGGGACCUGUAUGAUACCCGAAGUCAAGUUUAAGGAGUGAGAUUUGCAUUUUGAGAGUAUAGGGACCUAAAUGACAUCCGAGCGGAGGUAGGUAUGCAUUUUGAGAAUACGGGGACCUAAGUGACGUAUACGGACAAGUUUAUGAAACGACCUACUCCUGAAAUUUUGAAGUUUUUGAAUCCUAUAGCCUUAUUGCUGGUUUUUUUUGAGAGGGUACAACAAAAUGCACACAUCCAACGCACUCCACACCGCACACACGUAGCCUUAUUGCUGGCUGGGCUGGCGCAUGGUGUGCUGGGCCAGUCCAGUUAGGAGUUAGCUGGGCUGCACGUUUGAUGGACCAGAUUAUUAAGCGGGCGGGCCCACCAGGGCCCACCAGGUAGGAUAGGUUUAGGUGGGCCGGUUGGUAACUGGGUCGGGGCUAGUCAGCUUGGUAGGGCCCAUGUUGUAGUCAGUAGGCCUAGGGUAGUUAGAGCCCAACUUCGAUAGGUUAGCUUUUGAUUUAUAUUUGAAUUUUGAAUUCAAAUAAAAAUUACACUCAAUAUCCAAAUAAACUACAAAUUCCACACUAAGAAUUAUUUUCCCUUACAGUAAAAUUUAAUGUUUUACUAAAUUUCUUAGUUAGGGAUUACACAUUUUUUAAAAUCCACAUUUUUCUCACAUUAACAUUCCAGAAAAAGAACUGAAAUGUUACAAAUUAGAAUGGCCUUGUUACUAGCUAGUAGAUAAAAAAAAAAUCAUAUUAUGAUAGCAAGAGGAGAAGGUAAUACUACGUACACAUGAUAAUGUCCAUUUGACCUAACAAGACAAUCAAGGUUAUCGAACAUAAAUAAUUACUUCCUCCGUUUCGAAUUACUAUUUGUUUUGCCUUUUCUAGAUGUAUAGUUUUUACUACAUAUCUAGACAUAAUAUAUAUCUAGAUGUAUAGUAAAAUUUACGUAUCUAGAAAACCUAAAACGAAUAAUAAUUUGGGACGGAGGGAGUAUUGACUAAUCGAAUCUUAUUCCACUCAAAUCCUAACCGUUGAGUAAAAGACGACAUGGAACGGUUUAUUAAGAACCGAGGGGUAACAUCACGCAGUUCAUUACAAAACAGGCGAUGGAUCGAGGGAGAGUAGCCGGCGCUGGAUGUUACGGAUCGGAGGCCAUCUUCGCUUAGCCGAUGUAGUAGAUCGGGUCGGGCAGCUUGAAGGUGCGUGCCCCCUCCGGCGCACCGAGGAUGUCGCUCCACUGGUCGCCGAUGUUGCCGACGAUGACGUACCCCGCGUCCUGGAGCUUCUGGCGCUCGCCGGACUUGAAGCCGAUGGCGGAGGCCUUGAAGCCGACGGGCUUGAGCAGCAGCUUCAUCCACCCGGAGUAGCCUUGGCGGCGGAGGUUGGCGACGGUGAUGGCCCUCUGGUCCUCGGUGCGGCCCGUCAGGAACACCGGCUUGAUGCCGAGCGCGAUGAGCUUGUUGUACAGCCGCUGCGUCUCCGGCAGCACCGGCGCGCUCCCCUCCAGCACGUACGCGUUGAAGCUCGUCGCGUUGUACGGCUUCGUGCUGGGUAAGCAUGCAUGGAAAAAGAAGACAAUGCAAACUCAUCACUUGUCUACUCUCUACAAAUCACACACUGGUUUUACGUUACGGUCCUUUCAUACAUGACAAACUGGUGUGUCCAGUUCUGAAACAACUUUAUUAGAAAUGGAGCACACACGCACGUGUGAACCGUGGGCGAUCUUUUGGAUAUGACACUUGCGAAAACGAUAAGAUUUUGUAGCCAGCACGCAUUGGCAAAAGGCCAAACGGACCACGUACGCUGGUCCUAAUCGAUAUGGCACGCACAAUCUCAUCGACGACGUCUCCAUGUGGCAUCGGACACAUGCAUGCGUCCUAAGACUCCAAGAGAUCUGUUCCUUUCCCAUCAUAGAGAAAGAGAAGGACGAUGAGAAUUAUAAAGGAGAGCCAUACGUUUUUUAAUCCUACUAUCUUGAGAUAUAGAGAAAGAUAUUAUAUUAUUAUGACAUCAGCUAGAGCUAAUAACCAGCAGAAUAUAGCGGCUCCCAAGAGCUCUCCUGCCAUAACCGCUACAACAAAAAUAUCAAGCUAUAGCGGAAUCUAACUGGCUCUUUUAAUGGCUGAAGAAGACUGCCGCUAAAUCCUAGUCCUCUAUUGAGGGUGUGUUUGGUUGAGCUGUGGCUUUUGAAAAAGUUGCUGUGAGCUGUGGAAAAGUAGCUGUGAGAAAGCAGCUGUGGGAAAAUCAGAAGACCGUUUGGUUAAAGGAGCUGUGAAACUGUAGGCUAUGUAACAAAUACCUGUAAUGCCCCUAAAGGUCUGUGAGUGUGUUUAUAUGCAAAUUGCUCGUAACAAAAUAAAUUUUAUAUAUUUUUCAUCCAUUAAAGUGAUUGGUCCACAUAAAUAGAAUUAUAUCCAUCAAAAGUUCUAUACAAGGAUGCCAUCCUUCAACAUGGAUGAGCAGGGAGCAGCGGCGGGGUUCUGUGGCCGGGGUUGUUGGGCGGCGGCCGUCCGGGGGGCGGGGUGUGGCGGGCGGCCGGGGGCGCCGGGCCGGCGACCGGCGACCGAGGGCGGCGGACAGCGGGCCGGCGGAUGGCGAACGGCUGGCCAGCAGCCGGUGACCUGGGGUGACGGGCGUCGGGCGGCGGUGGUUGGGGUCGUCGGGCGGUGGCCGUCCGGGGGCGGGGGUGUGGCAGGCAGCCGGGGGCGCCAGGUCGGCGGGAAGCGGACCGGCGACCGGGGGCGGCGGAUGGCGAGCCGGCGGACGGCGUCCGGCGGCGAUGGGCGGUGGGGUGCGGCGAUAGGAGGAGCGGACGGAUGCAUCGGGAGAAAUAGAUUGGGGCAAAAAACGAACCGUUACCUUCAUAAUCAGUGGCAGGUGGGUAAUUUUUUACCCCAAAAGCACUUGAAAGCAGGGGGGAAGGUGCUUUUCAUUUUGUACUAGAGCAAAAGUAGCUUUUGAGCAAAAGCACGUAGAGCUUUUAGGCCUUUUGGUUGGCUUUUGACUUUUGCAAAAGCAAAAGCAGGUUGGAAAGCCCAACCAAAGGCAGCCUUAAAACACUAAGCUAGCUCACUAUUGCUUUUCUCUAGAAUCAGUACACAUGUUCUGGUGCAUAUACGUACAAGACAAAACAUACAGAUACGACGUGUAGUGUACGUGGCAAUGCCUCUGUUCUCAUUUGUUUUGACUUUUCUAGACGCAUAAUUUUUUAUAUUCACAUAUUAUAUUUUCUAGACGCAUAACUUUUGAUAUUCACCUAGAUAUAUAUUAGAGCAACUUGUCAGGUGAGUACAGAUUGGUCAAACAACUUAUAAAAUGCUCAAUCUAGUACAAUAACUUGUAAGAUGGGUGCAAUUUAAUCCAACAACUUGUAAAAUGUUAAAUUUAGUAUAUUAACUUGAUAGGUGGUUGCAGAUUAGUCCAACAACUUUAAAAAAACUCAAGUUUGAGUAUUUUACAAGUUAUUGAACCAAUCUACACUCACCCGAUGUAUUUACUCUAUAUAUUAUGUCUAUAUAUAGCAAAAGUUAGAUACGUGAAAAAAUCAAAAUGAAUUGUAUUUUGAGCCGGCGGUACAUAUACGCGGGCACAUGAGCUGGCCGGUUAACAUGAUUAAUUAGUACGUGCCAUGACAUGGAUUCCUAGGUGCCAUGCGUUGAAUCGCGAACAACGUUACGUACCCGAAGCCGUGGGUGGCGUAGUAGGGGAGGUUGGAGAGGGACGUCUCGUCGAUGUCGAACACCCACACCUCCUUGCCCUUGCCGCCGAGCUUGAGCCCCUCGGCGUACGCGACGGCCUCGUUGACGACAACGCGGGAGUCUCGGCGGUAGUGCCCGCCGAGCAUGUAGUGGCCGACGUAGCCCUCGCAGUCGGCCGGCACGGUCCGCCAGUCGCGCUUGUUGUACGCCUCCACCGCCAGCCGCCAGCUGUCGCACGGCACGCCGCCGCGCCGGCCGAGGUCACCGGCGGAGCCCACCAUCGGGCGCAGCGCGUGAAUCAACGGCGCCUUCUGGCUCUCAUCCGCGGCCGCCUGGACGGCCCACGCGCUGCCGGCCACGAGGGCCACGAGGAGGACGAGCCUGGCCGUCGUCGCCGUCGCCAUGGCCACUCUGCUAGAGCUAGCCGAGACUGGACAGUGUGUGCUGUUUUGCUUGUGGAGACGAGCACCUGCCCCGUCGGUACGCGCGCGUGAGCUUUAAUAGAAGGUGCUUGUUGCCUGCGCAACGGAUCUAGCGGGGCUCACAUGUCACCUGGUCAUCAGCACGUGAGUCGCUAAAUUUUUUGUUGUUUUCUAGAUUUUCUCACGCUAACUUUAUAAUUCCUUAAUUUAUGUAUAUAUAAAAAUAUUAUAAAUUGUAUGAGAACAAAAAAUCUGAAAAACAAACGUGGGGUUGUCUCGUAGUUCGAAUAUGGACAAUUGUUUCGCAAAAGAAGAUCGAUUCUUCCCUCUGCCUCCAUAUGUAAUUUUUAAAAAUGUUACUCCGUUUCAAAUUGUAAGCCGUUUUGAUUUUUCUAGAUUCAUAGAUGUUUGUUGUAAGAACUAUAUAUGUACCUAGAAAAACCAAAACGACUUACUCCCUUCGUCCCAUGGAAAAUGCAAUUCUAUUUUUUCUAUUCGUCCCAUGAAAAAUGCAAUUCUAGUUUUUCUAGGACAGAUUAGCCGUGGCAUGAAAAGGCUCCAAUGCCCUAAUUUGUUAGCCACAUGCAAUAAAUUUUGACAUGCAAAUCAGAUCUGACCACUUAAUUAAACAGGCAAUUAGAUUUAUUUCCUAGGAUUAUUGCACUUUUUUGUGGGAUUUUUUCAAAUACUAGAAUGGUACCUUUCAUGGGAUGGAGAGUGCAAUUUGGGAGUACAUGAUAUUGCAUAAAUUUAUUUACGAGUCUGCCCAGUCACAGCAUGCAUGCAAGGCUGCUUAUUUGGCGGACCACCCGUGGCGGUGCUCCUCCCUCAGCACCGACGUGUGGCAACGUCCUGGCCUUACCAUGACAACGAUGGUUUGUCUCCUCCACUUUGGGCUCUGCCAAUGGCCUUGUAAGCUUCUUGGAGGAAAAAAAGAACUUCUAUGCGAAUCUCCUGUCAUUCAGAAUUUAUACACACACGUGAGUAGCACUUACAGUGUGUGCUACUGUGCUUACAGUUUUAGUUGUAUUACUCACGCGCGCCCUUGUAAAUUGUAAAUUUGUAAUGGAUAAAAAUGACUGCUUAUUUGGGGGGGUUUCCGUCUCCUGGCCGCAUUCUUUUGUAUGCGCACGAUUACAGAUUUGCCUCUUUUUGCCUUGUCGAUCUGAUCCCUCGAUAUAUGCCUCAUGCAUACGGCACUGCUACACCCGUCGUGUCAACUGCUGCUCGAAUCAGAUCCUAUACAGGCAUCCAGAGCACCACUGCUUUUUCUCUGAGCUGACCUGCAGAAAAGAAAGGGCUUCAGAUUAGGUCCUUUGAAAUUCCUAUGUUGUAGGCUGUAUGUUCCACGAAAAAGGCGCUAACCAUUAUUGCACAUGUGUGCUAAAGUACUAUAGAAAUUUCAUGGAAAAAACCACUCUAGACAUGUCAGUUUUAAUCACAAUGUUCAUCUGUUUUUUAAUCAAAAGAAGCUGAUUUUGCUCUCGACAUGCUAUUUAGAAUACUCAAGUUCAUUCCUACUUUGAUACUCCCGUUUAGGGUGUUUUUGGAAACCUCUUGAUCAUACUACAUUUUUUUAGGCAAAAACUAUGGGGAAGUUCUUCACAGCACUUCAUUUCAAAAAUUAAGAAAGGCACAAGGACAGGAGAUGAGGGGGGAUUAAGUUACACUAGUGUCUCUAGCCAUUGAAUAAAAACUAUCUACAGGUGAUCAUACUACAUUAAGGAUAUUUUGCCCAAGGGAACAGACCUCGGCCUCCUGAGCCGCUCGCCCGAGCGCCUCAGGGGGCGAACCUGCCCGUACACUGCGAGCCCCCUCUCCCCCGGUGCCAUCCCCGCCUGCCGCCGUCGCUCUGGCCAUAGCUCGUGACGGCGGCAGGCUCUCAAGCCGCAGCAGUGGCCUCGGCUCGCUCCCCUCCCUCCCUUUCUCCCCGUUUUGCUAUUUCUUGCUCCAGUCCAGAUCUUGUUGAUUCAAAUCUUGGUCGCCCUCAUCUUCGGCUUCCUUCCCCCGCCUACCUUGGUGUCUGCGCCUCUGCUCAGGCCGACGCUACCUCCUUUCCUCGCUCGUCGGAUUCGCAGCCCCCCUGUGUUGGCCUCUAGGCUGGGGGCUCCGCCGGCGGUGAUGCAUCCUGAGGUUUAGAGCUGUGGUUGGAAGGUGGCUGAGCUGCUGGGAGGGAUUCGUAGACGGCUUGUGCCUACUCCGUCGCUCCUCCGGUGGCAGAUCUACGCAACCUCCUCCUAGGUCGUCUGGUUCGCUGUCCCCCUGUGCUGGCUCCCUUACCGGGGCCCGUCGCUGGCGAUGCUCAAUGGGUGGGGGUUGCUGUUGGCAGGGCUCAUCGGUGGUGCCCUGAGCCGUCCCUCUCCCGUGCCGCCGGCUGCAGAUCCACGCAGUGCUCCGCUGGCGGGGCUAUCCAUAUGCUGUUGGGUCUGCACUCAUCCCCGCCGCCUCCGGCUAUGUGCGUCCUGCUCACAACCUUGGUGGCUCGGCAUGGUCGGUGCGGCAGCUGCAAUGCGAGGGUUCUGGGUGAUGUGCAAUGAAAGUGCCGCACCCAGUGCGCGGAGAGCGCGGUAGGUGCCAAGCACCUCUGCAUGAUCUAGGCAAGUUCCUUUCUUCAUGUUCUGGUCGGAUGCCGUGCAGCGCAAGCGUCGCGCUCGGUGUGUGGGGAGGUGCCCGGACCUCUGUAUGGCCCGACCUAGGGUGUUAUCUCUGGCAUCUUGUGCAGCUUGAUGGUUCUGCUUGUUGUUGUGUGCUUCUGAGGCCAACCGUGAAUGUUGGGUUUGCCCCGGUGAAUCGAUUGGGUGCUAAUGAUUCGAUUCAGGUGGGGCUUAGCCCUCCCGUUGCCGACACUCAUCGGCGGUCGGUGGUGGUUCCUUCAUUCGUGUGCCUAAUUUGCUUCUUCUUUGUCGAGUGAGCGUGUGUUGCGAUUGUAAUUCUUUGUGGCUCCCUUUCUUCUUCUGCCAAUUUGUAUCCUGAUCACCACCCCAGUUUGGGAGUGGCUGCGUGAUGUAAUAUCUCCUUUGAUGGAAUGAAAAUGUUCAGGUGGGCUUACUUAGCCCCCCUUGAUUCCUCAAAAAUACUACAUUCAUGUAGACGUAAAACAUUUUAGUCCCAUAUAGGCAGAUGUUAUGUCACAUUUAGAUUUUAAAGCAUAUAUAUAUAGAUAGCACACACGCUAUCUACAGGUGAUUCCUUGCCACGAGAAAGGAUGCGUGUAUCAGGUUUAGCUUGUUCUCUUUUCAUGUAGUAAUGAACUGGUCGCGGCCGGCCGGGCGCAUCUUUCUGCAGUUCGUCACGGGGCCGCAUGUCUGGGCCGGGCUGAAGUUGGCACACACGUCGAGUUCCGGAAGAUGCAUGCGGCCGAAGGGGCCAAGGCGCAUGCAAAGCACAUGUGCUGAUCAUGGCUGGGGCCGGGCUUGUUUGUACCAGCAGCCGGAAAAUGCAAAACUGUACAUGUGACCCUACGAACUUAUUGAUUUCUCUUUUCAUCCGACUGUUGAUCUAGUACCUACCCAUAAACUUCUUACCUACUCAUAUAUAUUUCACCGUUAAUUCAAAAAUGAAUGAUUUGGAUAGCUCAUGUCGUCGUGAAAAAUCCAUAGGCAGGUACUCAAUCAUGCUCUUUUGGCGUUUCCACAAAUUAUUUUAAUUCCACGAUAUGCCGUGAUACAUACUGUGGUCCUUUUGAAAAACCACGUAUUGUGGUCCUGGAUGUGUCCUUUUUGUGCUCUUGUUAGUUUGAUUUUUUUAGUGAAAAAAAGGGAGCUUUCCAGAUUCCAAACCCACGAUAUAUCAGGCUCUCUCCAACGGACAUCGCCAACAUGCGUAAGCAUUUUCGGUGAACAUGGAGGGAAGAGAGAGAGGGAGAGGAGGGAAAAAACAUCUACUUUCUAGUAGGUCGUUUUCGUUUUUCUAGGUGUAUAAAUAUUAUUAUACAUUUACAUAUAGUGUAUGUUUAGAUGCAUAAUAAUAUAUAUGAAUCUAGAAAAAUUAAAAUAACCUACAAUUUGGAACGGAGCGAGUAGCUGGCAGCAAUCUCAAAUCAUCAAUCGCACAAAAUUUGGAUAACAAAAUAGGGAAGCAUACAAGCAGUUAUUUUUUUCUCUUCACAAAUUUAAGAGGCUUGUAGCACAUAUGACACGUGCUGUACACUAUUUGGGACGGGGAAAAUAAUUUGUGGAUGGUGCACAUGCAUGAGCUUUAUUUGAACAGAGGCGGCAUACCUACAACGUAUUUGGUUUGGGAUGCCGGGUGAUCCGGAAUCAUCCGAACCUAGAACUGAAGCUAGCCGAGCCGUUUGGUUCGCAUCGCCGGAAGAGCUCAUCCGUCAUCGACUGCUUCCAUCUAGCGCUAAUCGCACGCAAAUGUGCCAGACCACUUGAUUCCGCAAUUAAUAUUCAGAUGGAACCAUUCUGUUUGGAGGGGAGCCGGCCCAUGCCGCACCGCAUCAACCGCUAAACCAAACACGCUAUUUAAGAUCGAGUUGAAGUCCAACUGACUGACGCAUCUACAUGGGGGACUGACGCAUGAUGAGGGUGUGAUAAAAAAUAAAAAGCAGCUCAUCACAAACAAACACUGCAAACCCCUGAAUCAUGGACAGAUUAUUGAUGGAUUGACGACGUAGAGCCGUUGGAUGCUCGAUCGGCCGGUGUUGUCGAGCGGGUCCUAGCUCAUUAGCCGAUGUAGUAGAGGGGGUCGGGCAGCUUGAAG